GGACAAUGACUGCAAAGUGAAGACAAAGUCAUGUGACAGUCACUGCCAUGUCGCCAGGCUACAAAAUGUGAAAAAAAAGUGCUUAUCCCAAGUUUCUGUGUGAAGAUCCAUGUGGGCAGAUUCCACAGUACCACUGCAGGUCAGAGUGGUUUUUCAUUAAGCAUAAAAGCCCCUUUCAUUUGAAAGUAUGAAUGCCUUAUGCCUCCUAUGGAGGCUAGUACUGGCUAGUAUGAAGCUCAGGGAAACACAAGACACUUCUCAGAAAAACAUAAAUGCAGCACUGUACUUCUGAGUCUGUUUCUAAGUGGUUGUAGGGUAUCAAUAAUGAUGUUUGAUUAUCUCUGUAGUUAUACAGUAAAAUUUACAGAUUGCAUACAGAGAUAGUAAUGCAUAAUUAUUUAUUUGUGUCAGCCCUCAAAUAUCAACUAGAUUUAAUACCAGUUCACUGUCUUCCCUCAGCCCAGGUACUGAUGAGUCCAAAUUUGUGUUUCAAGAGAUGCUGAGAAAGAUCUCUAUAUCCACAGUUGGCUUGAACUCAAAAUUGAAAAUUCAUUUCUUCAUCUCCAUAGAGUGACUUUAUUUGUUUAACCUUACUGCCAGGGACUGGUUAGUUUUAGCAAGACCUGUAAAACAUAACCACACUUCCCUAGGAGCCUGGAAGAGCUAAAUAGCCAGAUCUAGGCACUUAAAAAUGUGUGAUUUCUUCCUUACCAGCAAGAAAUGAGUUUAAAUAAUCUGUCUGCUUUAAAACUGUUUUCAGGGUGAGGGAAGUGUAGAAGAAAGGGAAAUAGAAUAACAAAUGCAGCUGGCAAACGUUAAUGGAAGAUUACUACAACAACAGCAUAGCCCUGGCUUUGUCUGUAUCUAGUGUGGCUGGGGACCAUGAUCUAAGACACUACACAAUUGAGACUGAUAUGGCUCAGUCAAACUCUUGUUUGAAUCUCCCAGUAGGAGCAAAAAUUAUUAAUUAUCUGUCAGCAUUAAAGAGAUGAUGAAGGCUCUGUUCUCACUUCCUUGCCCCUGUUCAAAUCAUGUCAAAUAUGCCCAUUCAACACUGAAUCCCUGAGAGGAAGAUUUGUUUUUAAUCCAGUGAUGCAAAACAUCUUACUAGAAGAGAUUCAUGCUGGUUGGUAACACUCCCAUCAUCAGAAAGAGUCGAGAAGAUUCCUCUCUUAAGAAUACAGAGCUAUUCUCAUCCUCUAAAGUAAGUUUUUCAAAAAUUGACUAAAAUGGAGAGAAGCAAAAUCUGGAGUGUUGUACCUAAUCAGACUUCAAAUAAGAAGCUGACAGUACAUGUAGUAGACAGAUACUGUCAGUCUCCAUUCAGAAAUAAAUGAAGCCAUUAUAUCUGAUUAGCAGGGUUAGUGUGCUCCCACUCCCCGCUGUCACUUUAUCGAGGAGCUUUCAGUAUCAAAUGAGGUUUUGUUGAAAGGCAGCUGGGUUGUGAUUGCAAAAUGUUUGAGAUAAACACGUCAGUGGAAAUUAGUUUCAAACUAACACACACCUGAUGAUCUUUAGACCUGAUAAGCAGCAGAAAGGAUCCAGUGAAGUAUAGGGUUUAACUACAGCCACUUCCUUUGAUAUGAGCUGAACAUCAACAUUGAAACCUCUCACUAGCAGUCCUGGAGACCUGUGAAUACCGCAGGGAGGAUUAGAAGAGGCAGAAUAAGACCAGUGUGAUGCUGCAUCAUGGGAACCCACCACUACCCUGUCCUUAUCAUGAGGGAAGGAACAAGUCUGAGCCCCCAGAUUUUCAACAUCUGUUACCGUUUGCAGGACCAGGUGGUAGAAGAUACCUGAAGGACUAGUUUUUCUUGACAAUCUCUUACAGUUCUGUAAACCCAGGCCAUUGCUCUGCACUCUGCAUCAACGCAGCUCUCAUGGCAAGAGUACACAGAUCCCUUCUGAUGGAUUUAUCUCAUGACUCCUUUGGUGUCACAGAGCUUGCAAAAGAGACACCUGGAUGAAUAUUCAUUUAUGUUUCAUUAGGAAAGGAAAAAGGUUCCUGUGUGAGGGUUGGCUGCAAGCCAGGCCUUGAGUAUCUAGAAGUUCUGGGGCUGCCUGUCAUCUGAUACUGGAGAAAACAUUAAUUUGCUUCCUGCCACAUCUACUGAAAGGCAGUUUGUGGUUUGAAGAGGAGGUGAGGAAGUCAAGAACAACACCAGCUAUUUUUUGAGGAGCACAGAGCCAUGCCAGCAAUUUUAGGAAUCCUGUAAAUCUGUUGUGGCUGCUUGUACAUGAUGUGAGAAGUGUCUAUGCUCCUGUACUUUCUGUGACAGUGGCUCACCUUGCUUCCAUCUAUUCAUUACAAACACUUUUUUAAGUGCAGUGCCCACUAAAAGAGAAAGAAAAAGUGAUGCAGUGAUGAAUUUUGUAUUACAGUGGAUAAGCUCAUGGAUUUGUAUUCUCUUGAAAGGUAUCAGUUCAAAUGCACCUCAAAGGUGAGUGGCAGAUUUCUUCACUUGCCUGAAACAGUAUUCUGGAGAUGGAAGUAAGAGUUUUCUAAGCUCCUAUAUUUUAAGUUAUGUAUUUAGCUGAAAAAAGCAAUACUGAUUUUGAAAACUCUAUACAGGUUCAAUUCUGUGUAUUUCACUAUUAUAUACUUUCUAGAAACUGGAAGGUAUGUUAUAAGCAAAAUAAGUUAAUAUGAAAGCAAGUGCAUUAAUCCUCUUAGAAUAGAGACUGAACUGAGCUUACCUUGUUUUGAGGAUCUGUUUCUGAAUUUAGUGGCAAAACUUCCACUUAUUUCAGCACUGUAUGGCCAACUCCAGAGACAAAAGAACAACGAAAACCUCUCACAAAACAAUAGAUGUAUGAUGCUGAGAAACAUCAGGGCACUCAUCUGGUCACUCAGUGAAUGGAACGAAAGCAGCAAAUGAAAGCUUGAUCUUUCAGGAAAAGAAAGAGUCUGUUUGGAAGCUGAUGUAUUCAGCAAAAGAUAUCACAUUGCACAACAGAAAGCCCUUAAUUAUGGAAGAAAAACUGCUGAGUGUUAGCAGGACACUGCCAUUUGGAAAGCUGGACUUCGGAAAUGAACAUGCAAUGCUCCCAACGCUUCCUAGGAGAUAGAAUAGGACACGCAAGGACUGAAUGCUCUCAUCAUCCUCUAGGAUGGAUUUCCCUGUGACUUUGGGAUCAUGUCAGGUAGUGCCUGGGAAAAGGACAUAGGGAGCCUGAGGAAUGCAAUGGGGUUUGUUUCUUUCUUCUGUCCAAGAAAGAUUACUUCACCCUAGUUGUUUCUAAGGACUGUUAAGGUUUGUUUGUUGUCAGAGGGUUUCCUUUGUUCUGCAUCUUAAACAAUGCAAAACAAAGACCUCUUGUGUCCUUUUGGGAGCCUGUUCCCUUCACAGUGAAAAGCAGUUGUGGGAGUCUAGUUUCUGUAGACUUUCUCAGUGGUUUAAAACAGCCCCAAACAUUAUGAUCCUGGGUCCACUUUGCUUUCUAUUUGUUAGAAAGGGGAAAGGUGUUAUUAUUGUAGACAACUUAAAAACAACAAAACGUGAGCACUGGUUUAAUUUGAGAACGGGAAGUAAAUGGUAUUGUAAAGCUUAAUGUUUAUAGCAAAGAAUGCUUUUCCUUUUCAGCUUUUUCAUAAGUCUGAAAUUUGUAAGAGGAAGUUCAAAGAGGAUAUACACAUUAGUUCCUACUUGGUUAUUUUCCAUAUGUGAGGUCAGUAGAUUUCAGCGGAUUAGUCUGGGUUCCUGAACAUCUGAAAAGUUUUGAAAUUACCUUCCUGAGGUUUUGAAGUAGGGUUUACAGUUUGCAAAGAAAAAGAUCAGUCUGAGCAGGCUUCCUGCACUGCCUGUUCACUAAGAAAGUGAGAGUAGAGCAGUUUGAAAUAGGAGAUGCAUGAAAUCAAAAUCACAUACAGCAUCUUCUAAAGCACAUCCAUUGUGGCAGUGAUUUCAAGCUCAUCAGGCUUUUUAAUAACCAGCAUACCUUUCAACAGCCUUGGCACAUUACCUCCUUCUGCACUGAUGAUUAUAAUCAGAAACCUUUGCAGAGAGGCUAAUUUACUUUUUCAAAUCAAUUUUCAGUGUAGUUAAGUAAAAGGACCAUUUUAGUGAGAUUUGGUUUUGUACAAAAAAAUUAGAAAAAAUACAUCUAAAACCAAUUAGGUUGAAAUAAGUUUUUUUUUUUUCACAAACUUCUAUACGUUGUCAUGUAAGUUCUUACUUCUAGACAGUAUUUCCUCUGAAAAGCAGCAGUAAUUAAUCUAAUGUUGUGAGGCUGCAAAGCAAUUUCCUCAGAAAGACUUGGUUUGGCUUACUAGAAUUGAAAACAUUCACCAUAUGGUGUCAAAUAUGCUUUUCUCUGAAGUGUACUGAAGAUUAGGUGGAGGAUCCUGACUUAGUGUUUGUAUGAAUUAAGCUCUAAAUUCUAAAGAUUCGGAAUUGAAACACCAUUAAACACAGAAGUACAGACCAAAGUGUGGUAAUGGCAGCCACUUCUACCAUUCUUGGAGGUUUUCAAGAAAAGGGUAUAUGUGGCAUGGAGGGACAUAAUUUAGCGGGGAUGGUGGGAAUGGGUUGAAGGUUGGGCUAGAUUACAUCAGAGAUCUUUUCCAACUUUAAUGAUUCUAUGAUUCUGUGAAAUGCACUUCAGAUAUAUGGACAUGAGGGAGAUGUUUUCAUUGAAAAUUUUUGGCUAACGUGUUAGAUAGUUCACAUCAAAAUAAUUAUCCUGAAAGGUUUUAGAGAUGCGAAGGCUGGCAAAAUUUCAGCGAUAUGUCCUGUAAACCAGGCUCUUCCCAUUGUUGAAAAUGAGCAUGAAUAUUUUUGGACUGUCCAAAGAAAAGGUGAGAUUUGAAAUGUGCAAAUUGCAUUCAAAAUAGCUUUGAGUGCUGAGCAGUGCCUGGGUCUCUUCCAGGAAAAAUAGGUUCUGAGUAGUCUCAGUUAUAAGUAGUUGUAAAUGAACAUUAUAUUUAUUACCUUACUUUAAAGCCUGUAAAUCCUAAUCUCUUCCUUUUGAAAUUUUCUCCUGCAUGUUAUUCUGUUUCUUCUGAUUAAUGUCUGAAAUACCUGACAUACAAUAUACUGGUGAAGAGCACUUUAUACAUUGUAAAGUAAAAAAAAGUACAUUGCAAUUAAUGUUGUAUAGUCAUAUUAUAAGACGCUUUGUUAAUAUACAAGAAAAGAGAAGGAAAUUUAAAAAUUCUUGUUAAUCUUCAACUUUGAUCCAGGAACACCCCUAGGAUACACCUAAUUUGAAAUGAGUGAGAAUUUUUGGAUCAGGGUUUAAUUUUGACAUCAGGAACAGUCUUUAUCUCUGGCAAGACAAUUUUCUAUGACUCCUGUGCAAGAUUUCUGCCAGCACAAAAGUUCCAGUUGAUGUUAUUACCUUCAAAGAUCAUCUCAGUUGAAUCUACAAGAAAAAUGGUGAUGAUUUGUCCCCCUGUCCUCCUUUUGUCUGCACCAAAAUAGCAAAGGAAGUGUUAGAUGACAAAAUGACCAAGAGUGCAGAGCAGACUGAAGCCUGGAGCAAUGGAGUGGUGCUGCUUCCAGGUGCUGCAAUGGACUUUGGAUCAGGCCAUGAAAUCAACUCAGGUAAAACCUCCAGGUGAGCGCAUGGUUUUGUCUUUACUCAGGCAAUGUUAGAAUUGGCUUCAGUCACGAAGGGACUAGGCAGCUGGUUUUCCAGUACGUGUAUUCGGAAUCUUUACUUUGGGGUUAAUGCAGAACAUCUAAACCAAAAUGAAUCAAUUUCCAGGUCAGUGUAAAGGAUAUAUAUGUAAUUCUCUUCACAUUUCCCAGGUUCAUGUGUGCCAAUGUCACGUCCUUGGCCUAGACAGCAGUCUGCCAGCCCAAGUACAAAGAUGCUUUUUAAAAAAUAUUUUGCACCUCCCCGGUUUCCAUUCUCUUCCUAGAAGACAAAAGGGUUGUUGCAUCAUUGUCAUCUCUGGAAGAAACGGCACAGGGCUGCCAGACUUCAUAGGCUGGUUUCAUUGAUUCAGUUUAGUCAGUCCAACAGCUGUUUCCCAGCCCCACUCUCCUUACCAUCGUCAGUACUCCCGUCACUUUAGGCUUCAAAGAAAGGUAAAGAUAUCUUUUUUCUAAAUAAGCUUUUGGUUCCAGGGGAUGACUGUGUACAUAGGAUUCUGUCCAGCUCAAAUCAGGGUUCCACCUUGCAUGGGAUUGGCUCAUCUAUAUAAACUCAGGUGUCACUGAGGGAGAAUAAAAGGGACCCUAUGGAAUAUGUCUUGGGAGAAAAACAUAUUUCCCAGGGUAAAAGACUUUAAAAAAAAUGUUUGUUAUUUUUCUCCAUAUCUUCCUCAUGGGCUCUACAAAGAAAGGCAAAUUCAGCAAUAAUGGUCAUAAAAUUUAUAGUUCUCUGUGUUCUUAGCACAUUGAAAAGAAUAAAGUUACUGGACUAAGUCAUUCAGAUGAAAGCAUUCCUGGAUAGAGUAAGGAGAAAAGACUGAUACUUAUUGCUGUGCCACUUAGCUACAUGCUACUCUAAAAUGCUGUCUUGUUUUCCUUGGAACAGGGCUUGCAAUACUGUUGAUGUACAGCCAUUAGAAGAAGAUCUGACAUUUCUCUUUCCAUAGAGCUCUGCUGAACUUCAACAACAGGUCAUAGUCUGAGCACAUUUUGAACCUUUUUCUUGAAGACAGAUGAAUGUAUUCUAACAGAAGUAUAUCAGUCCAGAUUCUUCUCUAGUGACUUUCUAAUUUCUGUCAUGGGAUGCCUCUGCUUUCCUUGAAGUGAAACAGCCCCCUGUCACAUUGCCUGCGUUCAGGAAGAAAGCCUCUUGGUGUGCAAAACAAUCAUCUGCAGCACAAGUGCUAGACACCGAGGAUGAAUCACCCAGAGGUGAAGCUUUCCUGCACUGACUUGCAAAAGUCAGCAACAAGCUGAGUUGGAGGGCCAGCUGUGGACUGCCCAUAUGGAGGUGAGGUAAGCAGCACUGAAAAUGACAAAGCCAGAAUCUCUAUCUUGAUUUUGAAGUCAAGUAUGGAUCUGCUAUGGCAAUUCAGAACAAAAAUUAAAAAUCAACACCCUUCUUAAGACAAAUAAAAGUGGGAUGGGAUCUCACUGCCCUUGAAAUCUGGAAGCAUUUUUUUUCACCUCUCCAAUGCAUGGGGAGGUUAACACAUCCUGUUUUUACUAAUGUCUCUUUAAAAAAGCUGUGAGUGAUGAUAGAGAUAGAAAAGGAAGUAUCUCAAACUGCAAAAUGUCCUUGGCUGCCUUUUUGAAACGUAAGUAGAUUUUGCCAAGCACAGUGCUACUGAGCCUAGAGUGAUUCAGAUGCUCAAACAAGGUUAUUUAGAGCUAGCCUGAGUAUUACUACACUACUCUGGAGAACAGAUAACCCUGAACAUGCAGCUGGAAAGGUAGAGAGGAGUCACACUAUGGUUUAUGGCCUGUAUCUCUGCUAUUUUUGAAAGACUGGCUUUAGGCAUGAAAGGGAAAAGCCACAGGUGACAUCUCUGAAUCCCCGAGGCUAAGGACUGAUUAGCUAACUUGCAGUUUUUCUUUAGAGAGAAAUAUAUUUUCCAUUUUUAUAACUGUGGGCUUUGAAGUUGUUUUAAAGUUGACUUGCACAGAUGCAUCUUUUAAUAUGUUUUCUUUUCCAGUAUGACAGUUGUAGGGAGGUGCGGGGUUAUAUGACAUGACAAAUGCCUACUAUUUGCAAAUUCCAGAAAAAGCAAAAGACACUAUUUUACUAUUUAAUAGACUUGGCACAUACCUGGGUACAAAUAUCAGGAAUGUGCUCAAAUACAUAUGCCCAGCAUUUCCAGAAAAUAUAUUGGUUUUCUCAAAUGAAAUGUGCAUUUCAGCCACACAGAAACAAGGAAUGCCAUUUUAUUUGGAGGAGUGGAAGUUGUAGGGCAAGUGAGAAAACAAUGUCCAAAAAGUUUAUUAGCUAGCCUGACUGUUUAAAAACAAUUUCCUGCGAAAUGUUAUUUGAAAAUUUACGCAAUUUCACUAAUCCAAUACUCCCUAUUUGUAUUUUAUCCAGAGUAUAUUUAACCAAAGAAAGCAAAAUCUUCAGAGCAGAUGUGCUCAGUGAAGUUUCAGAAAAGACUCUUUGGAAGAAAUAUUUCGCCAAAGUGUUUCCAACACAGGCUAUACUCGUUAGCCUUGCUGUGCUGUUCCUGGAAGUAAUCUGUGCUCUUCUUGCUUUAUUCAUGCAAUGAAUGCAUUUCUUCAGGAAAAAUACUAAAGUGUUUACUGAAAUGUUUUAUUUCGUAAUGGACAGUUUUAUUUUUAACUUACAGUUUAUUUAUUUAUUUCGUGAAAUGUCAUCAUUUUGAAACAGUAGGAAAGACCCUUUCCUCGGAAACAAGAGGGAUCUGUAGAAACUUCUGUAUAAAAAAUUUUAGCAAAUUUUGCUAGAACAGUAUUACCAUGGUUUAGGGAAGGAUAGCAAAAACUCUAGCAAUCUUGUAGCCUCUGUACAUUGAAAUAGAUAACAGGCAAAUAAAAGAGAUGGAUCUUAUUGAACUUCAGCUGUCUGGAGAUAUGUCUGUGGUCCUAGCAGGCUUAUAUAUUUUCUAAGAUCCUUUUAUGAUGCCCUGUCUGAUCUCAGACUUUUUAAACAGUUCCUAGUUAGGUAAAAGGAUAUUAUUCUUAGGCAUUCAGACACAAUGACUGCAUUUGCAAAAUGCAGCUGAGUGCUGAAGUACAUGUUACCCCAGGUGAAACUUUCCCUGCAAAGAAACUAUUGUAUGUUGAACUCUGAUGAUGAAAUUUCCAAAUGCACUGGAAAUCACUAUUUAAUCAAUCAGGUUUUGGAGGCAGGUGAAACUCAGGAAAAAGCUGAAGGAAGGAUUAACGUUAAUAUAUAUCCUCUAUUCGACCCUCCACCUAUCUUAAAUUUUUGUAAUGAAAUUGCUCAGAUAUUGAUAAACAGUAAGUGGGUAGAUAACACUUCUGAAAAGGAACACAUGAAACUUAAGAGAAGUAUAAUCUUAGCAGUUUUGAUGUUAAGAUGUUUGUCUAUUUGUCCACUAUUUUAUUUCACUAAGAAGUAACUUAAGGGAAGUUUCUCCAAGUCAUACUGCUAAGUUUAGUGAACUUUAAAGCAGGGUUACUAUACGCAAAAAUUGAUUCUUCUUGUUUGUUCUGUCUGGCUGUCUUACAAGUGCUUUGCCCUAUGGACUAGCUUUGUUUUUACUAGUUUCCGAGAUUUAUUUAGAUACUGAUUUUUUGUGUUCCUGACUCACAGAAAAUUGAAGAAACAACAAACUAGUUUUAACAGAGGUUGUAAGAAUUUUGCUAAUGUGAAGAAUAAAGACUGUUCUGUUAACCUGAUUGCGAAACUGAUUGGAGGACUUCUCCAUUCUGUUUUAGUUGGCCUAAGAAAAUAGCAAGCUAUGCACAACAGAUGAUCUAAAGUUUGAGAUUAAUCUCUAUUUGCCUGAUUGGAAAAUACAUUUUCUUCUCUUUACAUCCGUGGAGGGUAAAAAACUGUAUCUUUGCUUUGCAAUUGUUCUCCUCACUGUUACUAUUAACAAAGAACUUUGCUCUGUUCCUCAGCAAGAGAUACUAUUGGACCAAGGCCUACAUACACAAAAGGCCUUAGAUGCUAAUGUGGGAUUUAGGUGACUAAACACAACAGUUAGAUCCUUUAAAUCCCCAUUCAGCUGUUGUCUAAUCCCAUAGGUGCCUAAAAUCUGUAGAAGUCAAAGAUAUUCAUAUUAAACUUCCCAAUACCUUCCUCUCUUUACUUUGAAUGUGUUUCAGAUAGUGUUUAUCUCCUUCCUGAUAGUAGACUUUCUCAGAACAUAUUUGCAGAUUUCUACUCCACCCUACAUAUCAGCCUCUUUCUCCCAGAGUAGUAAAAGUGCUCCUUAUGCAGUUACUCAGAUGUUACAUUCUUGGGAAGAGAGUGGCAGAAGACCAGGUUCAAUCCAUCCUCUUCUUGCUGGGCUUCAACUCUAUAUCCCCUUCUUCUGAGGAUAAAGGCUUACCGAGCAUUCUUGCUGUAACAAUCCCAGCCAUGUGUUUUUCUGCUUACUUGCUGGUACUGUUUUCUCUUCCAGCUGUGUCAUGAAAGAGAAUCUCGAGCCUGGGUUAAUUAUUUCAGACCAAGAAUAUGGCUACUUCUUUUCAGGAGAAGGUCAAUGACUCUAAAAGUUAUGGUAGAAAGAAGCACCUCCUUGUACAGACGGACUCUGUUUAACAUUAUUCAAUUAGAAGAUUCCUCUCCAUCAUCAGCUGUGAUUCAACUGUCUUUCCAGUACUGUUUUCUCUCUUCUCCCUUUCUGUUGUCAGCCACUGUCAGCCAACCCUGAUCUCGCAGAAAUGAUUGAGUCUAGCAAGUAUGGCUUCGAACCUACAACCAAAAUACUCCAGUCAGUAUUGAAAAUCUUAAGGAAAAUCUAACUUGUCACAUCCUCCAGCUACGAUAUUGUUUAAGGUGUGCUCUGCCACUUCUAUGAAACAGAAGUCUUGUCAUAGCUAACUACAAAUUAAAUACUGGAGUUACUGGUAUGAACGUGUGGUAGUGUAGCAGACUGAUGUGUCCUCAUCCUGCAGGAUAGUGUCAGAGAAAAAUUAGCUCCUCCCGCAUUAGAAAUAUCCAGCCAAGGAACUGAGAAGAAGGAAAAGGAAGCUGUCUUUUACAUUUCUUUAGGGUGUUGCAGUCAUGAAUGCUUUUCAUCUUAAAAGUAUUAGCAAUAUUAAAACUUGUCUCACCUGUUUUCCCUAAGAGGCUCUCUGGAGGUCCCAUAUGCAUAUUAUGAGCUUUCUCAGUCCUCCAAUGAAAUCCAAAAUGGAUUUGAUAUUUCUCCCAGGUGUCUCUCAAGUAUUUGAGUUAAGUGGGUGUUAACAAAAAUGUCUCAAAGCCUUAAACAGUCCAAAUAAUAAACCAUUUCCCCUCUCUAUUAAUUAAGCUUUACUUGUAUGCUGCUGUGGUCAUAAUACCCCCUGUUCUCCAACCAUCCAAAGUCUUUCAGGAAAAACUGACUAGAUUUCCUCAUGUUGAUAACAGACUGAAGUCUCUAUUCCUUUCUUUUUCUUUUAAAAAUAAGAUUUAUUUUUAUGAAGCUUUUACUUUGCAGAUUGUCUUUAAAACAUACCUUCAGUGGUGAUUCCAGAUGCAACAACAGCAGUAACUGUCAAUUUUUAGUUCUAACAGGGUCAAGUUAACCUUCAAUUUCUUUGCCAGAAAUGAAGUGCUAGUAGAUGGUUUUUCACAUGUCUAUGCAGCCAAUAAUAGCUUGUAGUAUUUUACUCUCAGAAAGAGUCUUCAGGCCUUCCUUGAUGUACCAUAAACACUAAUCUGCAAGCCCUACUUCACUCUCCCUAAGACCAUAAGGCAUUUUGUGCUAAGUCUUCAAGGAACUAGAAGUGGGGAGCUUAUAAUGGAAAACGCUUUUCUCUGCAGCUUGCUUCUCCUAGAGUUACACCGAAGCCAACAUUUUCCUUAUUCAGAACAUACUGCAGAAUAUGUUUGUCCCAUCAUCAACUGCAGGUUUGUAAUCGUGCAAACUGAGUUCACUGUCUGUCAUUAUAACCCAUCUUUGUCCUUUGAAGCCACUGUUGCCAGCCACACAGAAUUGUCCUUCAUACAAUGUUAAAAUUUUCCAAGAGAAGCCCUGUAGUGCUCCCAGAUGUUGCAAUUUGUCAAGCAUACUAUAAACAAUAGUAUGGACACCAAGGCAAAAUGUACAAUUAAUUUAUUAUCGAAAGUGAUCGUUUAAUGUGGAAUUAACAAAAUUUAAUAGUAACGUAAUAUUGCAAUGAUAUAAAAUGAAAUAAAUCCUCCCAUUUUUCUCCCUCUUGUGAUUACAUAAAAAAGGCAGAAAAGUUAGCGGCCAUCAUAUAAACUGGCUGUUCUGGAAAGUAUUGUUUUCAUAGAAUCACAGAAUCACCAUGUGUCACAAGUAGUGGAAGUACUGCAAAAUGAGACAGUGACACUUACACAAACUUAUUACAGAAAAAGUACUGGAAUUCCUGCAGUAUUUUUUAACUUUGGAAUUUGAAACAUUCUAUGUGUAUUUAAGUAAAAUGUGAUCCACUGAUAAAAUACGAUAGUGAUUUGCUAUGUUUUUCAGCCUGCUUUCAAUGUUUUCUUUACCUUUGCACAUAAAUGGCUAUGCAGAACCACACAUUACCACCCACCUUAUAGGUUGGUGUCAACUACAUGAUAAGAAUGUCCACACAGGGACCAUUGGUUGGGUGACUAUAUUAUUUCCUUUAUUGGCUUAUCUCCAGUGAGGUGUCUGCAAAAUGUUCCAAUUGAUUUUUAGGCACAGAGCCUAUAAUCUGAUAUGAAUGUGACAAUUCUGUUUCAAAAAGAUGGCACGAAUGCAUAUUACUGGCUGAAAGGAACAUUUUUUGUGGUCACCCAUAAUGCCACUGAAUAUCAGAAAUUCAGUCUCUCAAGCAUCUGAAAAAAAUUCCAUGUCUUUGCAUAUUUCAAACUCCAGUGAGAAAAUGGAUAUUUUAUCUCAGUCUUCCAGCCUACUACUGAAAUAAUAAUGAGCUUCGUGCUGAAUCCUACAGUUCCACUGAUAACAAAAAUUUCAGUAAAUUCAGAAAGAAACUGAACUUUUUAUAUUUUGGUUCCAUUAUGCCAAAAUGUCUUAAAUCAUGUGUGUCCAACAUUUUGACUUGCCUUGGCCACAUUAAGUGAAGAGGAACUGUCUUGAGCCACAUAAAAAAAAUAAUAUAGUUAAUGUAUUUAACAAAACUUCUAUUUUAUUCUGUUUUUUUAUUAAAACAACAAAAAAAUGGAGUGCAGUAAAAACAUAAAACUAGUGAGGUAUUUGACCUUGUUUUCAUGAAACAGUGAUCAAAUAUAUAUUGAAAAACAAGUGCGUGUAGUGUGUAAUACUCAUGGGUUUCUGUUUGACUGAGUGUGCGUGGUGGGUGUGUGUGGUGGAGUUUGCACUGCACUGCACCCUCCCCUCCACAGCAUUCUGUUGUUGCCUGCGCAGGCCAUUCUUGAGCUACGCACAAUCGACUCACAAGAAAUAUUGCUAAAAAUCACGUAAUAAAGGUAGAAGUUUAUCAUCUUGUGUGUUUGCAUUGCUAGUGGUCCAGGGCUGCAUGUGGCCCACGGGACGCAGGUUGGACGUACCUGUCUUAAAUGUUGCCUACUCACAUGAUUAGAAUGUGGACUGAAAAGAUACUUAAUUUCUUCCUAUGGACAAAUAUAAAAGGAAAUGGAUAUCACAAUCAGUUUAGAGGUUUAUCAGUCAUUCUGAAGAGUUAUUAUUUAUUUUUACCAUUUUGUGUACCAGCUGCUUUAGUUUCCAUGGUAGGAAGGCUGUUGUGGAUAAAAAUGGUUCUAGAGAAAGCAGCCUCCCCUGCCUCCUCUCUGUGAUGGACAUGAACCUUGAAGGCUGCCACAUGAGAAGGAACCAGAGGUCCAGAGUUGGGAUCUAGUGUCCAUUUCUACCUUUUCCAUUUUUGUUUGAUUGCCAAAAUCAGUUCCUAAGGUAACAAACCAGUAAGUCCAGCUUCAUUCCUAACUGCCAUUUCUGCCACAAAUCAAGAGCUGUGAUGAUUCAGGAAUUCUAUCCUUACACCAAAAUGAGAGUAUGUCGGGUGCAAAUCAUUGUGAGGAUAUGACUGUUGAGCACUGCUCCACAGAUGAUAUUUUCAGUUUGGGUUCAGAUCUGCCCGUUCCAGCAGUGCUGGUUUUGGAACAUUGUGCAAAAAAUUUCCUUGUAGUAAUAUCAUCACUGCAGGUAUAGAAUUAAAACCUUGAACACUUCCUGGACUUUACUGCUACAUGUGUGUUUCUAGUGAAAGAGGGGUAACUUUUAGAGUGACUUACAGGGGGGGUUGGCAGAGCCACAUAUUUCCUGUAAUGGGCAAUAAUAAUACCAUGCUUUUGAAAACCUAUACUUUUGGUUAUCUACUGUGAAAAUUUCUACCUGCGCACACCUUUUUUGUAUGAGUGAGUGUGGCAAAUCUGGGAAUGUAUAAGGCUUUCUGUUGAAUUUUCUAUGAACUGAGAAGCUGAGGAACCUUAAUGAUUUUGAGAAGUCCUUUCCAAUCUUAGUGAUUACUUGAUUCCGUGAAGUACUUUUUGCAAGUUGCACCUACAACCAGAGUGAUCGGUUAUUGCCCUCUUCUCAGAGCUUCCACAUGACUCCUGGACAGACUUAUCUGUUAACUGUUGUCAGAUCUUUCAGUUUGAGAAUAAAUAGGCUAAAUACAGCUCUGAUUAAUGGAGUAAUUGGAUACAGUACCAUGUAAAGAGAGCAUGAGUUUCAGGAACUAGGUCUGCCCAAUUCCUACUCUCAGAACUGAUGGAAAAAACUGCUACACAGAUGGAAUCAUCAUUUGUCUCUUUAAGAAUGACCCACCUCAGAGAGUUUGGAAAAAGAAGAGCAGACCCUCCCUGCAAAAACUAAAUAAAUUCUUGAAGAAAUUUUCCCUUCAAAGCAUUGCCAUUUGUGCAAAACUUCAGGCAGAUCUACUUGGCAGCUGGAUGGCAGCUGCACUUUAUUUUAUUUGUUUCCAUCUCCUAAGAAAAAAAAAUUGCCAUUUCAUGUCACAUAUGCUCUUAGGGUCUCCCUCUCCACAGUUAUUGCGAUUAUAAUACUGGUUUUAGGAAAGGAGGAAAUUUUAUUCUUCUUGGCUGAUUUUUUGUUCUAUAUUACUUUUUACUGAUAACAGGGGUAUGUACUGAAAGAAUUCUGUAAAUCAGGCAUAGGAACAUGUGGUGCCCUGGAUUUGGGAGAAAUACAGAUGCAUAGUGACAGUCGUAUCUGUCUGAGAACAAAUUCUAUCAGCUGAGAAGACCCAUUUAAGAUAAUUAUUAACUGGAAAAUGAAACUAUGCAAUAAGAAACUGGUGAUGUCACAGUAUAUCUAUUUCCUUGGGGAACCUCGUGGGAGUUCUGGUAUCCUACCCAUCCAUGUUCAAGUGACCAGUUCUGUGAACAGGUACUUGCAAAGUCUAACAUUAGUUCUGCUUGACUUUCCACAUUUCUCUUUCUCCCACAAUGUCACAGAAGGACUGAGUAUUGGCAAGGAUAGCUUAUAUACCUGACUAAUUUGCUUACCACUGGAAUGUUGUAUUUUACUGCUCAAAGCAGAGUCCAAAUUCUUGGCAAGCUCAAAUGAGGAAUUUGCUUAUGAUUUUGUUUUGCAGUGAGACUUCUCCUAAUCGGAAGUGCACUGAAAAUAUGACUCAAGUUGAUAGUUUGCUGACAGCCAGUUUGUUUAAAAUGCCUUUUCACAUUUGUGUUGUCUGAUGCUAUAAAGCUGUGGAUAUAUAGACAGGUAGGUCCAUAUUUUGCCUCAACACAGACUUGCUGAAGGCGCUAAAUAAAUCUCAUCCUCUGAAUGAAAUUACCUUAGUGACAGGGCAUAGCUUCUGUUUUCGUUACAAGAAUGGUUGCCACAGUGGUAGGAUAACCCAAUUUUAUCAAAAUUUUUAAGUAUCAAAAUAAUCUUAGCAGAUCCGCUUUGAUCUUCAGAGUUUCAUGGGAUUAGAGGAUUAGUGUGCUCUUUGUGGGUGCCAGCACUGAGUUUAGUGGUCUGACAGACAUUGUAAAGAAGGAGAGUUGUUCAAAAGAUAUUUUCAGCCUCAAGUCUCCAGAGGUUUGGAUAGCUUGGAAAAGCUUCAAAUAUGCAUCUGAACACACAGUACAAUUCAUACUGCCUUCAUCAGUUAUCCUGUGUUUGAGAAAUAUCAGUAGUGCUUCACAGCCUCUGCAUGUUUUUUUCCUUCCUGGGUACUUUGUUUUCCAGCAUAGAUGUAAUACAGCCCCUAGCUAAAUAGCUGGACACAUGCAAACAUACAAGAAUUUGGGGUAUUAAAAAGCUUUCUUUAAACAAAACAAAGUGCUUCUUGGUUCAUUUAAAAAUAAUCAUAGUGCUUGAUUUACAUAUACUUUGGAACAUCUGAUGAAUAACUGUUCCAAAUCUAUAAUUUCAGCUACUGCUUCUGGCACAGAUUUAAUUGCGUUAAGAAAUGUAAUCCUAGAAGUACAAAUUCAAAAUCUUUGCACAUUCCUGGCAUUCCAAAAACAUGCAUAGUAUUAUAAUUUAGCUUUAUAAUCAAGCCCCAAAUGCCCUCCUUGCCCACUGGCUUGGAAAAGAGUUGAGAGCCCUUACUCCAUCAGUGCAAGAGAGAGGUGAAACAAUUUAGAGCAACCCUGGAGAAAUUAAUUUGCUUAAAAUUUAUUUAUUUAUUUAUUUAUUUCCGUUUGGAGUCCUCCCUACUGCAGUUGCCGUUUCAAAAAUAUCAUAUUAAAAGUCAUAAUGAUCUCUUAGGUCUAUUGUCUUUGUGUCUGUAUAGAACUGGGGUAAUAUGCAUGUACUGACUCAAGGAUUUCAGUGAGAAAGCAUGAUAUAUAUUGCCCCUGACCUGGCUGUAGGUUGAAAAAGGAAGCGUAGAGAGUUGAUUGUGCCUUAGAAAUCUCCAUGAUCACUGGAUCCCCAAGUGUUCAUUCAUGCUUUCUGACCUUCAAGAUAAGCAACACUAUGGUGGCUAGAGUAGGGAAGGUGAAAGAUGUGUGAAAUCUCAGGAUUUCAGUGUAAUAUCAAAAUUAACACCUUUGCCUCACUUUUAAAUUCUUCCUUUGAGUUAAAGUUUAAACAUGCUCUAUAUUUUAAUUAUACAUUAUGUGUUAAUAAAAGGUAUUAUGUAUUAAUAAAUACUAUGUAUAUAUAGUGACUUAAGAAAUUGGUGAAGAGUGUCAAUGUUAACCAAAGCCUUGGCAUCUGAAGGUCACUGUCACAGAGGUACUGUCACACUUCUGACACAACUGGCUGGCAAAUAAAACUGUUUUACUGGAAAUAUAUACUUCAUAUACAUCUUUCAUUCUCUGAUCUUUCUGUAUCUCUAUGACUUUAUGUAAUUUUCUUUGUUCCUGCUAUCUGAUAAUUGUUGCCAGACUCCAUGAUUUUACUGUCUUUGAUGCUACCACCAAUGUGAUGGGCAUUACCUGCAGCGAUUUGUAAAGCUGCUCUCAGACCAAAUUUUACCUGAAAUACCAUCAUCAUGUUGACCAGAAACUAAACAUCCAAAGAGUGAGAGUAGAAGCUGUCACAGAACAAAUGAACUUUUUGCCGUCAUAGAUUAACAGUGACUUCUCCUGUUUAUUUACGUGGCACGUGACAGCAUCAUGACACUUCUUGAAAAAUCUUUGUCAUAAUAAUGAUCAAUUCUAGUGAGGAUAUUUAGAUCAUUAUUGAUUAAUUCCUAGUUCAGGAGAACCAAUCUUCUCCAUUACUGUCAGAAGAAAUUGGAAGGAAUCAAUCACAAGUGAAUAAGAAUCAGAAAGUGGCCUAACAUUUUUGUAUUCUGAAAGGAAAGAGAUUGCCUGAAAAACUGAAGUUUGCCUAUGAUAAUGCUCCAGCUUCUGCCACUGAGUCUUCAUCCUUCUCCCUGGUAGAAGAGCAGUUCAUCUUUUAAAUCUUUUCAGCUCUGUGUUUCUCAGCUGAAUGCUAGUUAUUGUCUGUCCUAAAGGUGGCUGGAUUACAUUCCUAAAACAUCUCAAAAGACCUUUCUUUUCAUUAACUCAAAGACAAAAAAUGAGUUUUUGUAUAUGAAUUCAGUAUUUUGUAUGAAAAUGCAGGCUCUCUCUCUCUAUUUUAACCACAAUAUAAAUCAGCACAGAAAACAAUGUAGGUUUUGGCAUCUGUGUAAUGUUAGUUUUGAAUGAUGAAUACAUACCAGGUUAGGGAAUUACAAAAGCUGCUUGUGUGGUAUGUUACAGAUUUUCCAGUGUAUCUCCAAGUACUGGAGCUGUUCAUGUCCCAGAUUCUCUGUUGUUCUCCUUGGCAUUGCCCACUGGGAUUUCCCACUAAGCACAAGGAAUCUUCCCUUGGAAUUCAUCUGCCCAGUAGUGUUAGAGGGCUAUGGGGAACUUCUCUGAUACAGAACCAGAUAUCCUAGGUCUGACUUGACAUAUUUUUUUGAACUGUUCUCAAAGAUCUUUAAGAGAUGCCAGAGCAUACUAAAGAACCUUAUUCCAGUGUUUCCACAUCUUUUUAAUUAGAACGUAUUCCCUAAUAUCCAGAAAUAUUCACAGUAAGAUUUUUUCUUAUACUUUCUUCUGUUUCAUGAGAAACAGCUUAUUACCAUUGUAUUUACAAUCUUUUAUAUAUCAGAGGGAUACAAUCAUGCCCUUUUUGAUUUUCUUUCUUUUGAAUAAAUUAAGCUGAUCUAUAACAUUUUUUUUCCAAUACUCUUUCUUCUAUUCACUUCUGGAUUCUUCCUGGUAAUCUACAUCUUUCAAAAAAUGUAUUGUUAAAACUGCACAGUACCAUCUCAUGCCUCUUGAUCCCCUUAGAGAAGGUGGAUUAGCUGUCAUUCAGCUCUGUAUUGCUUUAACUGUACUGCUAUCCAUGUUUAGUUACAUUUAUUUAAUGUUCCUUUGGAUAUGUAUCUCUAUAUUCUUGCUUUAGAUCUAUUCUACUAGAAACUGUAAAACAGCAAAAUGCAGUCUAUUCUUACCGAUAAGUUAAAUUUCAACUAUUCUCUCCUUAAAUGUAAAAUUAGUUACCCCAGUGAUGUAUUCUGGUUCAAGAAUUUUAAUGCAGGCAGUUUAUGAUAUAUACAAGCGAACUGAAAAUUUCUCAGUUCAUUUUUAAUACUCCUCACAUAGAUUCUCCCAUUUACUUGGAUGUUAUGUUGUUGUUGUUUGUUCCUUUAGAUGGGAUUUGGUUAUCUUUGGAAUACUGCCAAGAUGUUAUUGAUGGUCAUUGCUAGUGUUAAAUAAGGUUCAUAUUUGUUAAGAAACCAUGCAGUUUGUUAAAGGUUUUUGUCACAAUCUGAUUAGAGCACACAGCAAUUCACUUAAUCUGGUAUUCUGGUGUUUUAUCUCCAGCACUGGCCUUAAGGAAGAAAACCCUGAAAUAGAAAAUUACGGUAAAAUAUGCACAAAGGCAAAAUUCUUCCUAACCCUACUGGUUGGUGAUUGGCUUAUUCUCUACAUAGUAAGGUCCCCAAAUUAAAUCAUGUUUUAUGCAAGAGAGGGUAUUUGUACAGUUCAAGUAAUACAUCAUCUUCUUGCAAGUCCUUCAAUACGUUUUUCCUUCAGUUAUUCAUGUUCACAAGAUACAGUGGAUCAUUACUUAAAAGAAUGCUGUUUUUUAUUUAUUAUUUUCAACACCUUAAAAUGAACAGCCUUUUGAUCUUGCUGGAUUUAUCCUUCACCCCAUAUUACAGGAGAGAGUAAACAAACUACGAACAAAUAAAUAUUCCCAGAACUGUUCAAAUAUUUUUCCUCAAAAUUGUAGCCAUUCCUGAUCUGUUACCAUUUUUUUUUGACUGUUUCCGUUUUUACAGUUUCUGUUUUCAUUCGGAGUUAUAUGGAAUUACUUAUCGGAUGCCAAAAUCUGCCAGUGGUGUAACAGGCAUUUAUUUGUGUUGCUGCAGUAUACAGUGAUAAGUGAGGGGCAGAGUAUCUUCCUAAUUCAAACUGGUGAGAACCCUGUACACCCGGAGAUUCUUGAAGUCUUUGUGAGCAUAUUUGUGAUGAAUUCUCAGUCUAAAUAUAAAAUGUGAAAUUUCCCACAAGCCCUCAUAGUACAGCUCACAGUUGCUGUAAUAUCCCAAAACUUCUACUGAAAACUAACCCAGACAAUUAAUACAGUCAUCAAGUUCUCACAAUUUUUUAAAUUAAGAAUCAUUACAUUUUAAAGCAUUUUUUUUUGCUCCUAUUUUUCUCAUCUGCAUCCUGUCAUAUUGCCUCUUUCCUUUACAGGAUGUAAAGCUAAUACCCAGAUUUUCAGAGUCCAAAGAUACCAAAAAGUUGGUUUGGCUUACAUGGUGGUGACCACAUAAAAGCUUUAUGCUUUCCUCCAUUUCAUGUGGCUUUUUACUAGGAUGGACAAUAAAAGCGGUAGAAUAAGGCUAGGUAGCUCAUCUAAGCUUACUGUAAAAAAGAAAAAAAAAUAGAUGCUAAUGAGGAAAAAGAGAAUAUAAUCAAAUGUCCAACUGAAUAUGUUAUCUGAUGAGAAUUAUUUUAACAAUAUAAAUAUGGCAAAAGUAACUGUUAUCAUUAUCAAUUUUAUGAGCAUCAUUUUAGGAAGAGCUUCAGACUGUGUAUUUAGAGCCUAUAUAUAACAAGAGAUUGAACUGUAGUGAUAGAUCAUGUUAAUUAGCAAAUAUUUAACCUUAGUUUACAAGAUUGAUCUUCAGAAGUGAUGAUUCCUAGCUGGUAAAUCUGUGAAUGAAGAACUGGAAUGGAAGAAUGGUAGAUUUGUAAGAAUACAUAGUCUGAGCAGCCACAUUUGUCAGAACAAUGCCCUGCAACUCAUACUCCAACAAUGGCCAGAAGCAGACUUGUAAGGCAAAUCUAUGAAUUCAAAAAUAUUCAGCACAGCAUCCCUGGAGCAAUCUCACAGCCUGCCACAACUUGUUACUCUGUGGCUUCUUGGCUUUGUGUUAAACUCCUCAAGUCUCCAGCUGAGACCCUAUGAACCCACAGCACACCGUAGUAGAAAGUUUUGUGUCUUGUCUUUGAUCUGCCUUCUUCUGGUAGGUCUGUUUGCUGUUUGUCCCUUCAAUCAUUUCUAAAAUGAUCUAAACAAUCUGUUGUAAGUAUACAAAGUGCAGUUCUCACCUCAUUUAGAGGCUUUUCAAGGUCACCUGCGAGACUCUUCCAAAGUUGCAAGAUCUGCAUAAUGAACAGUUUAAAUUCUAGUAAAAUAUUUCUACACAUUUCAACUAACUUUAAGCACAUUUAGGUUUGUAGACUAAACCAGUUGCACGAGCUCUACUGUCACUGGAGAAUGACAGAAGCUUCUGGAUGGUGAUUCAUCCAAUUUAUUUUAGGCACCUAUUUUUGGCUGAAGUGAGUCGCCUUUUGAAGGGCUUUGUCCUUCCCUGACAGAGGAGUCUGGAUGGCCAGUGUAGACAAGCUGCUCCACUUUUAGAACUAAAAAUAUAUUCCUUGAAUCCCAGUCUAAGAGCUCAUAAACAGUAUUUACUUUGAACUCUUGUAAUUUGGAAAGACAUUGUAAUCUGAAAUCCACAGAGGAAUAAACUAAUGAACUAACAAUACGCAAGAGAAUAGCACAGUCUUCCAAGGACCUUGGAAGGUCCGUCUAAAUGAAUAAGGCACCCUGGCAGCAGAAACCUAGAAUAUAGAAAAAGUCUGGCUGGGGUCUGACUUCAGAUCAGACUCAGACAGUCCUCAAGAGGGCUGUUCUGGUCAGGUGUUCUGCUAAGAGAGGAGAAGUGUUAAAAUACCACAAAACUGGGCAUAUGAAAAAUAAAACUUUGUGUUCUUACCAUGCAGCCUGUGUCUGUUAACCAUAACACAAAUCAGAAAAGCAUUGUUUGAUAAACUUUCACUAUACAGGCUGCGUGACUUGGACAUGGUCUGAGUAGUUCAGCAAAUGGCUUUGCUCAUACAGAUACUGAUACAGAAUUAGGUUCUCUGAAUGUCUAGCAAUUCAGUGCUGUUUUGUUGUGGUCCCAUACAAACUUCCCCUCUGCUGAGGACGAGGAUAUUGAUGCACUUGAUUAGAUAGCAUCGACCCAAAACUGUCAGCUUGAGUUUACUAGAGAUACUAACAGAAACUUAACUUUCUCAUUAACACUGAUGCACACAUUUUUGCUUUUCACACACUAAGCAAUCAUGCAGCUGGUUUGCUCCUGCUCCUGUAGUAGAACAGGUCUGUUUCCCUUCUUGAAUUGUGUGUGUUGUUUAUGUGUAAGCUAAGAGAUUUCUGUAGGCCACGUGACGUUCCACUGAGUUCUUACUUGUGAUGUGGUUAGAUCAACUGUGGCUCUCCUUGUUUCCUUCUGCUGGUGCAGAUAAAUGAUUGCUGACUUGAAAAAUGUGGGGACUUGUAAAUGCAGCUAGAAACAACGGAGUACAGACAACUCAGCUUCUUCAGCCAGGGCCUUCCACUGCACUGGAGUCAAGGCUCACCACCAGUAGCUGCUUGUAAAGCAAUGGCACAUCAUGACAAACUCUUGACAAUCACACAAGCUCCCUUCAGAUACUCAAAGGCUGCUGUCAGGUCUCCCCAAAGCUUUCUCUUCUCCAGACUGAACAGCCCCAGUGGUUUACAACUUGGUGGUACAAUUUAUAUAUGGCAGGAAUGUGACCCUGAAGGUAUGACUUGGUAUAGAUUUUUAAGAAACAUUUAUUACUAGGAGACCUCCCUCAAAUAUUCCUCACAGUCCUCCAAGUUUCUCGCUUCUGCAUCAUUUUAAGGCAGGAUGGGGCUUUACAGAGAUUUGUUGAUAGCUGAUUUCACAUGGGACAGAUGUAAUUCUAGAGUCUGUAGCUACUAGAUGUAUCAUGCAAAGCAUUAUGAGUGCCCCAUGCAUAUAAUUACGGCCAUAAUUUAAUUCUGUGGGCUCAGUUCUAGAUAACAAUAUAAUCGAGCUGAUAACACAUAUAUUUCCAAAUUCCUCUCCUUUAAAAUGAUUGUGAAAAAGACAUUCUGAAUAGAGCAGAAAUCUUCAAAACAGAACUCAGAGAAACUAGGCUUCAUUUCAAAGUUAAUAUCCUGGCCAGACUUUAGGGAACACUUGACAGGGUUUGUUCAUCCAGCUCAGCCAAUUCAUGCUUCCAGAUGGAAAUUCUGUGAGACAUUUUUUGGUUUUGUUUGAUCACCUUGGACAGUUCAGAAAUAGAGUUUAUCCACGGUUCGCACUGCAUUAUGGGUUCAUUCAAGCACAAGGCUGCUGAGUGCAAACUGUUUAAACUCAUAUUUGUCCGCACAAUAGUGGGAGCUUCGUUGCCUGCCUCUUGUUUCUUUCUUAUGAUGGGGGAUGGAGAGCUCUUGUGCUCUCAAAAAGAUAUCCCUUUAUAACUGCUAGCUCAGUUCCGUUCCUGUGUCUCUAAGGAUGGCUUCUCAAGGGAUCUCAUCGACUAACUCCCUAAACUGCUGGAGUUUUGCUCUUCUGAAGUUCAGGGUCCAGAUUCCACUCUUUGCCAGGCCCAUAUUCCUCAACAUCACGAACUCAACCAGGGCAUGGCUGCUACAGACCAGACUGCCUCUGAUCUUAACCUCUUUAAUGAUCCCCUCUUCAGUGGUGGUGAUCAGGUCCAAUAACAUUUCACCUUUGGUUGGUCUAUCCAAUACUUGGAUCAGGAAGUUAUCCUCAACAGGCUCCAGGAUUCUCUUGGAUUUCUUGUGACCUGCCACAUUGUUUUCCCAGCAGAUAUCCAGGUGUUUGAAAUCUCCUAUAAGAAUGAGAGCCUGGGAGCAUGACAACUCUUAGAGUUGAAGCAAGAAGGCCUCAUCCACAGGCUCCCCUCAAUCAGGCUGCCUGUAGUAUACCCUGCCCACCAAAUGUCCUGUAUUGGUCUGGACCCUAAUUUUAACCCACAAGCUCUUGAGCUGAUUGUGGCUGUUUCACAGAGGCAACUCUUUGCAGUCUAUCUACUUCUUAACACAGAGGGAAGCUCCCCUGCCCCUCUUACCCUGCCUAUCCAUUCUAAAAAGCUUGUAGCCCUCAAUAGUAGUAUUCCAGUAGUACAAUUCUACACACAAUGCUUUUGUGACAGCAGUUAGGUUGUAGUUUUCUACUUACACUGCUGUUUUCAUCUCCUCCUGCUUAUUUCCCAUGAUUGUGUUCACUGGGGUAUAGGCACUUCAUCUGGGCUAUCAGCUAUGUCACCUUCUUGGAAAAGCUUACAUGAGUUCCUCUGGGACAGAUCUGAGGUUUUCUUCUGCUGCUUCCCAAAGUGACAGUGUUCCCUGAUUUUCCUCUGUCACUCAGAAGUGCAACCCCUUCCCCAUCAAAUCUAGCUUAAAGCUCUCAUGAUAAGCCCAGCCAGCUUGCUGUGCAGUACAUUCUUUCCUCUCCUUGUCAGUUGUGUCCCAUCUAAUGUCAACAUACCCAGUCUCUCAAAGGUGCGUCCAAGAUCAUAGUACCCAAAACCCUGAGUGUGAGAUCAUCCACUCAGACAUUCCUUCAGCUGAUUCAUUCUCCUCCUUCUGCCUGGGUGCCAGUCUCCAACUGGGAGGACUGAGGAGAGCACUGUGUGUGCUCCCAAUUGCUUCAACAUCUUCUCAAGGGACAUAAAGUUUCAUGGAUUUUUCUUAAUAUUUUGUAGUUUUUUGUUGUGACCUCUUGUGAUCCAGCUUGAAAGAGCAGGAGCAGAUAGUAGUCCUCCAGUUUUAUCAUUCCUGGCAGCCUCUUCCUGAAUGUGGGCCCUCCCUGAAGAUAGUAUCCAGGUGGCAAAUGGGUGCCUCAGUGCCCCUCAAUCUGGAGUCCCUAAUUACUAACACCCUUAGCCUUUUUUUGGUGGAGCUGGUUCUGACUUGUCCAUCUGGGUGUACAUGUCAGCCCAGAAGGGUUGUAGCUCCUUCGUAUGGCUUUCUGCCUCAGCCUGACCAUUGUAGAACGUGGUUACUGUAUUCGUUUCAAAGUGUUGCUCCUCACUGCUCCCAGUUGAGAAGAAAGUGGUCCUCUUUGCACUCUCCCUUUGUGAACUGCCAUGCAAACUGCCUUACUAUGCCCUUAGUGAUGUGCCAUUCCCUGUUUACCUGCCUUUGUCACCACACUCCUAGUAACACACACACACCCUAGGAGCUGAUGUCUAAUCUAAAUCUCCCCUCUUUUGGUUUUAAACAAUUCCCCCUUGUCCUAUCAGACUGUGUAAAAAAAAAUGAUUUCUGUUCUGCUUGUUAUCUCCCUUUAAGUACCGGCAUGCCACAAUGAGGUCUUCCUGGAAGCUUCUCUCCUCCAGGCUGAACAAGCCCAGCUCCCUCAGCCUGUGUUCACAGGAGAGGUGCUUCAGCCCUCUGAGCAUCCUCGUGGUCCUCCUCUUGACCUGCUCAAGCAGCACCACCUCUUUCUUGUGUAGAGGUCCUGGCCUGAUUGGCCUCAGUCUGUGGGCUACGUGAUAACCAGUGUCUGAGAGCAAGAGACACAUAAUAUACAAAGUGUGGUAAGGCAGAAUGUUAGAGAAGAAACUCUGUUAGCAACUUCUUUCUGUCAGCAGAAGGGUAGUCUCUAGAAAAUACCUUUCAGAGUUUGUUUUUGGAAAGAGCCAAUUCAGAUGCUUUUCAACUAGAUGAAUGAAAUCAAAGAUUAAAGGAGUUUUACACUGAGAGAGAAAUGAAAAGCAAGAGGUUUCCCUGUGAUGCAUGCUUCAGAUUUACUCAGAUUACCUUCAGACACAGAGAGUAUCUUUUGCUACAAAAUCCUUUCUUGAUUUUAAAUUCUCUUCACAGAACAAUUUCACUGAAGACAGUGAUACGUUCUUUUCUUACAUGACGAAGAGGAAUACUCUUCGGAUACAUAUAGGUUUCGUGCUUACUGUAAUGACCUCCUUUUCUUCUGUACCAGGGGAAUGACCACUUUGUAGCCUCAGAGACAUUGUAACAGAAACUGAAGCAGAAUUGCCAGCAUGUCAAGUAACCCUUCCAGCAUCAGUGCAUACUUUAUUUGCCUGGCAGGAAGAAUCAGUUUGAUUUUGUUUCAAUCCUGAUUGGUAGGACCAGGAAAUGGAGGGAGCAGUGCUAUGUAUCUCUGCAUUUUCAGAGGAAGAGGAAAUAGAUAGGUGACUCAUGCCAGCCCCUCAAGAUUUUAGUUAUGGUUGGUUUCUCUCUCUCUUUAAAUUGUGUGCAUUUGUGUGACCCCGCCAAGUGGUCUAAUGUGCUUUCACCGUACUGCUGCUUAAACUAACAGUUGUCUUUGGCAGGUACUGUAACUGCUUGGGCUCUUUUAUAUGUCUGGGGUUCUUACUGUGGUCAGCACUUCGACUAUAGCCCAACCUAAAGGAUCUGUGGAGAAAACAUAAGAAUGAAAUGAUUUUUUCCACUAGUGAACAAACGGGCUUAGUAGUUAUUAAUAUUUUACAAGCAUUUAAGGCUUUCAUUAGAACUUUGAGCUGCCAUUGUUAACAUUGUUGAUGUCUCCACUGUAGAAAUAAAAAGCCCCUAGAGUUUACUAUUUGAUGUUCAAAUCCAAAUUCAUUUCACAUUUCAUGUGUCUAUAAAAUUGUGCUAUAUAUAUAACUUUCACAGUGGCAUUUGGGAUUGAUUUCAGAGAUUUUUGUUUCAGCUUCUGCUGUUGGACUACAAACCAAAUAUUUUGGUAUUUUAACAUUAAUUUUUAAGGGAAUGGCCCUUAAAAAAAUUGGAAAUACUUAAUCUCUUUUUCAAUUAAAAGACGGUAACCAUUUUCAUGCUGGAUUUUUGGACAGUGUCAUAUUAACAUUAACUCUUGUUGGUCUUUCUAUCACCAUAAAGCCUGAAAGAUGACCUCAACAUAAAUGCAUUAUCAGGAUUUGUCAGUGUGAUUGUAUCAUGACUUAGUGUCACUGGAGGUGAAUUUUCCACUGAAUCCAACAGGAGCUUCAUGUGAAUCUUCCAGUAGACAGUUCAGUUCAGUGUAACAUGUUUUUCAUAAAGGGAACUUGUGUAUGUAUGAAAGCCUUGGACACUCCUUCCUCUGCCCCGAACUCUGGCCCGACAAAAUAAAUGUCUUUGUUAACAAAAAGCAUUCAAUUCUUUGCAUAAAUGACCCUAGUGAACUAGGCAAUAUAAUGCAGUUUGAGUUAGACACAAUUUGUAUGAUGUCCAGGAAAAGAAAGAAAUCAGUAGAGUAACAAGAAAUACAUUAUAAUUUUAGAAAUCAGAUCAAUAAAGUUCUGAUUGCUUGAUGUGAGUUCCUCUUUUAGAAGGAAAAGACCACUCCGGGACAUAAAAUGUUUUUGUCAGAUAUUUAUUAGUGUAGUUGCAAAGUAGUAAAACUAGAAGUCAGCUAAAGCCCACAUUAGUAUGAUGUACUUACAGUUGAAAUCAAUGGAAAAAAAAAUGUAACCUGACCCAGUUGUCACAAAAAUACAUGGAAGCCUUAUUAUGAAAUGAAUUGGACAGAAGAUAAAAGAAGGAAAGGACACACAUUCCUGUGUAAUUUUCUGAAUCCAAUUGGAUUCCAUUAAUAAAUCUGGACUAGACUGUGUCCUUUUGUACUCAGCCCAGAAUGUGUACUGCCAUUGUAAAAAUAGGUAGAUGUUAAACAUAAAAAGGGUGCUCAUAUCACUACAGUAGGGUCUUUAUCAUUAGACAUACUGAAAAAUUUUUAGACCAGCAUUUACAGCCAUGUGUAACUAAUUAUUUUGGCUGCAAAGAGAAAACAAUUUAAGUUACAGGUUAAAAGUCUCAAUAAAAUAUUUAUGUAUAUAACUACUGCAUUGCUGGCAGGGAUGAAUUUCAGAUUUCUUUUCUGAGUGGUAUUUAAAUGAAUGAUUAUGGUGUGGACAUAGAUAAAACAUGGCUGAAUUUACCUGCACAUUGGACAACAAUCACAUAGAAAUGCAUCUGUGGACACUGUGUUUAUGUAUGUAGAACUAUAUAUCUUUGAAGAAAUACUGAUAGCUAAAAUUACUGUUAAGUAUGGUUUUUUUGGAUUUUUAUCCUUUAUUUUGUUACUUUUGCUUUUUAUAUCUGCAGAAACAAUUGGAUUGUUCAAUAAUACAGAGAAGUAAAUAUGCCGCAUAGUUUUGAAAGCCUAAUUCUAUCAUAACUAUUCCAAAAAGCAAGGAUAGAGAAGUUAAAGAGAUGAGUAACAAAUAAGGGAUAAAUGUGAGUGUAUCUUACUGCAUGGAGGCCUUUUGUGUUGAACAUUAUUACUGAAAAAACAUUUAUUGGACAAUUUAGUACUAGCUUUUAUAGAAGAAAGGGACUAUGAUGUGUUUCUUGUUGCAUGAUUUAUUUCUUUAUUCAUACAGUUUAUAGAGAGUGAACCAUAAGAAUGAAUGUUUGAGAAACAAAGAUAGAAGGAUGUUCUUCAGAAGGUGAAGUUUUAGGCUUGAAGUUUAUAAAACUAGAUUAAAUGUCAAACCCUGGAGAUCAGAAUGUGCCACAGAUAUUAGUAUUAACUUAUUGUACUACUAAGAAAUUUUUUUAAAGGCUCCUGGUGGAAUUUUUUUCUAUUGAAACUGAAGUUCUUUUUUAAGCGCUGAAAAAGAAGUAUCAGCUCUGGAGGGUGACAUUGUCCCCAGUGAGCAAAUGGGAUUGAAAGAGUGCAUACAGUUUGCGUGGAUUUUUUGUAGAGAAGUGAAAUUCAUCUAAAGAGAGUAUUGUUGGUUUAUUUUGUUAAUUCUCAUUUCGUGAAAAAGUGAUUAUCCUUUGUAAUUCUAGGACAAAAUCAGAUAAAUAUUUUUUUUCUAAAAUUUAGAAUGUCCAAGAACUCCUCCGGAAACAUUUCAUUCCGCUUGUGGAAAGAAGCCUGUGAUUAGACAAUGCUUACUUGUUCUACAGAUUAUGUAAUGUACAUCAUGUAAUGCCAUAUAAUGCCUGUGCAGAUUACUUCCAGUGGGUGUAACAAGCAGGCAACUGGAAGUUAAAAUUCCUAAGCAAAGAAUACAUUAACUUUUCUUCUCAUUUGCAAAAUGGCUGGUUAAGAAAACAUGUCCCUCUUCUCCAUGUAGCUGAGAAUCCUGUUUUAUCUGCCUGUAAGAAAAGAAGUUCUGUAAGGAACACCAAAAUGUAGUAACAGUGAGUCUGAGUGGUAAGAGAAAGAUUUUUGCAUAUAUAAACUUGAAAAUGAGAUUUUUUCUAUGAAAAUGUUUGUUUGCUUUGUAUAAAUGAGACCUAAGUUUUGAAGGUGAGCUAUAAAGAAAAAAAAAUAGGUUAGUGCCUUUCAGAAAUUCAAAGAAUUUCUACUCCUGUUUUGUUUAGCAUUGCUGGCAGUCAGCUUAGGAGAUCAGAGAGAUGGAAUGGGAGCCUCCUUGGCUCCAUGUGUAGGAGGAAAGGUCAGAGUCUCGUCUUCUGACAGUUAUUAAACAUUUAUUUUUGAAUCAUUGUGUAACAACAAACAAACAGAUUUCAAAACACGGAGGGUCAGAUUUACUGAUGUCAACUUCUUACAGAUUCUCCUGCUCACCACAACCCAUGGCUUUCUUUCUAAAAGACUUGGAGUCAAAAGGGUGCAAAGAGAAACCUGCAAAAAAGUUAGAUUUUCUCAUACAUCAGACAGAAAGAUCACAGUGUAAUUCUUUAAUUUGUAGAAAACAUUUUAGGUGUGGGACAGAAACGAAGCUUCUUCUGCGGCAAGGCCAAUGAACAUCAACACAACAAAACACAAUGGCAAGUCCAGCCCAUGAAGGAAAAUAUUACUCGGAUAAUUAUCUCAGAUAAUGUUGGCUAUAUUACAGCAGGCAAAUAAAGCAUCAUUCAAAUAAUGCAGAAUAAUGCAAGUAGCAAAGGAGCAAUUUCUUCAUCCUACUUUCAUCUGAAAGUGUGGAAUUUUUAUAAAAUUUGUUGAUUUCCAGAUGAAGCAAGUCCUGCUUAGAUGUGUUUAUGCUAUUUAUUCACUCUUUAGGGAAUUCUGUACUGGGUUUUUAAGAGGAUUUGCCAAAACUUUUCCCAUCACUCCUGAUGAAGAUGUUGCUCCUCAAAGGGUGGUAAGAGUCAGUACAGAUCAAGAGGGUCAUGAACAGCUGCUGCUGCCACACUGUUGUCUAAUGAGAGUCGUAGGAGCCAGGAAGACCUGGACAUGGCUUUGGAGGGGAAGUUUUCAAUGGUCAGACCAGAAAAUUCAGCACCUACAUCCAUAGCAGUUAAUCAAACAGUGCCAGGACAUGCUAGAUAAGUGUGCUGGUACAGUAUUAAGAUGCUAUCCAGCAUAAUUUGGCUUUUAUAAGUCUUCUCUCAACAUGAGACUCCCUGUUAGUAAUCUUUAGGAUAUCUUAAAGAAACUUUCUUAAAGAACAGAUGUAUGAAACUGGAUUCUUUGCUUGUAGGUGGAGGUGAAGUGGAUGAGGAGCCCCUGCUGUAACUAUUACUGCUCACAGUUUGGGACUGACCAUUAACAAAUAGGCUGUAUGUUGGCAGGCCUCUCUGUCAGGGAAGGAGACUUUUCUUGUGUCAACACACAGUGCUGUGUGCCAGCUAGACACAGUGCUGCAAAACAGUCUAACACCUACCCCUGAAUCAUUUGGAAGGAUAUUUUCUAAUUCUGUCCUCAAUGGAAGUUGCUGGGAAAUAUAACAAGUUUACACCCAAAGAAUCAAUAUACUGCAUUCCUCCACCAUGGAUAGAACUGUUGAAUACAGUCCAGUUUCUGAGCUCACAGUGAGUGGAAAACACUAUGCAACUGAUCAGAUUUUUACUGCAGCUUAAUUCCUAUGUAUCCAGUGGAGUGAAGAGAGAAGAGAGGCAACAAAAAAAGUGUAGCCACAUGAAUAGCAAAGAGGACACUGAAACAACUACGUCUAAGGAAGACAGAAAUCCGAGCUGUAUGCAAAAUAUAGUGUAUGAAAUUUGGAUGGUGUCACCUCUACCCUGAAUGAGAAUAGAAAUUAGUUUAAAACACAAGAACAUAGGAAAUUUUGUUAGAAUGAAGUGGAAAUUGUGUCAUGUAUGAAGCAGACUAUGUUUUCUGCUUGAAUCUACAUUAGUUUAGCAGAAAUCAAAACGCUGCCCAUGACAAUUUCUCAACAAGACCAUUGGUUCACUUUUCUUCCACAAAUUAAAACCACACUAGAAAAAAAUACUGUUGGUAGCUAAUCCUAACAUUGUGUUCAGUUUCCCUGUGCUCAACCUAAACUAAGUCAUUUAGUAAUGGAAUACCUAGCAUUCUACAAAAAUUGCUUCAGAUGACAUGAACAAAGUUUCACAAAUACUAAUUUCAUGUUGAUGGAACUAGCAGUUAAGCACUUGUAUUAUGUGAGUGAUUAAAAGAUAUACAGACAGAGGAACCUCAUUAACACAAUUUCUGGCAUACCCAAUCAUACUAAGGAAGACUUGACUGAGGCUUGUCCAAAUUAGAAAUUAUUCACCAGCUAUACCAUGCUACAUGUGAUAGCCUACCUAAAGAAACUACAACUAUUGCUGCCUCUGGAGUAUUUUACAAACCAUUAAAGUAGGGACAUUGCUUUCACUUGAUUGUAAGCCUAUAGAGUCAUAAAGUCAUAGAAACAUUUGGGUUGAAGGGACCUUUGAAGGUCAUCUAGUCCAAUUCCCCUGCAAUGAAUGAGGACAUCUACAGCUUGACCAGUUUGCUCAGGGCCCCAUUCAGCCUGAACUUCUAUAUGGACAAUGGAUAAAAAUCAUGAAAGAUGGCACAACCACAGUGGCAGCCCACUUGUGUGAUCAUUUGAGUCCUGAUGAUAAAGUAAAAAUCAGGUUUCUGUGCUUUACUCCCAAUAUUUCUUUGACUUUUAUUAUUAUUAUUAUUAUUAUUAGUCACCAAGACACAUUCUAAUAAUUACACAGUUUAAAUUCCUGGAACUAAAAGUCAUACCCAAUAUGUUAUGUUCACCAAACAGUCUGUAAUUUGGUUUCCCUUCUUUUCAAAGACAAUUUAAAAGCUGGAAAUCUUUAAAGCUUGGACAUUGAAAAGAAAAAUGAAACAACAAAGCUUUUUCGCAGACUAGUCUGGAGUGAGCUUGUCUGGUUCCAGCCUUGUGGGAGUUUUGCCUCAUUCUAGUGUUUAAAUAUUUAUCCUGAAAAAAAGGUUUAGAAAGAGAGAGAAAAACAGAGAGAGAGGGAAGGGGAAUUUCUCUUUCUGUAACCAUUCCCACAGUCCGCUGUUCCCCAGCUGGAAUGAAUGGAAUCUUGAUAGUACUUGGUAACUCAGAAAUUCAGAGCUCACCCAGCCUGUGCAGAGACAGCAUUAGUUGAACAUUGCAUGAAGCUUUAAAUUAUGGGACAGGAAAUAAAAAAGCAAUAAAGAGUGGUAUCAGCUUAGAAAAAUCACGUCGAUAUGGAAAUAACUACCGCAUCAAUAGAGUCUGUUCUGCUUUGGAAAAGACCAAGUUAAGAUGAAUUUCUGUCUGGCUCUUUCCGUCGUAACAUAUCUGUAUGAAUCUGCCACUCUCUAAUUCUCUGUUUUAUACUUUCCCUGACUUCAUCAGCCUUGCACGUUGGAGGCCAAAGUGGUUGACUGCCACUCCAUAUGGCACUUAGCAUCUUCCUGGUUGGUGGAUGCUUGUUUCUUGUCCUUUCAUCUAAGAGCUGUGAUUUCACAGUUCAGAAGCUGGCUAUUACUAGUAGACCCCAGAGAUCAAAUUCUGACCUUAGCUAGGAUAGUAGAAAUCUCUAUCUGUACGAAAUAGUACAUAUUGAAAUAAGGCCUAGCUCUGUUAUUCCUGGCAUCUCACUUUGCCAGGAGCCAUGGGGAGUGUCUUUGAAAGAUUUUUUUUUCAGCUAGAAAGGCAUAAAAGAUCAGCUAAGGAAAUCCAAAGUCUGGAUAUUUGUAGUGAAUGUUGUUGAUUUGGGUCCACAGCCUGCAGGAGGAGUUAUUUCAAGCAAAGUAAUCACAUGGUUAUGCUGUCACAAUGAUAGCAAGACCAACUGAUGAGUCACCUGUGUGUUUAACAAGGUACAACUAAAAUACUGUAACUUCUUUUUGAACAUAUAGCUCACAAGGAAGAUGUUGCCCAUAAACUCUAAGCAAAGCACAGAAAUGGAGAAGUUUUAUCCCCAUUGAUGCAUAUUAAAUUAAGUUGGUCAAAGUUUAGAAAGCAUUUAAUAAUGCUUCAGACUCUGAGUUGUAGUUUCAGGAUUUUGAAAAAUAACUUUAUUUUUUCAUUGAAAUGCUGCUGUUAAACAAUGUCUGGAAACUAAGGACAUUCCAGUGGGUGGAGACUUAAUUUCUUUUACUCAGAACGGGAUAAUAGCAGCUGCAACAAUUUCCUUAAGUCUUAGGCUACAGAAUGGCACUGACAACUGAAUUGAUGACAUUAGAGGGUAGGGCUUCAUUUCCCAGCUUACAGGUAUCCAGAGUAUUUUGCAACUACUAACUUGAUUCCAGACUCUGUUCUGGGGCCAAAUAACUGAGGAAAAAGUAAUCACCAAGAUCAAAUAAGAGGUUACAUUACCUGACCUCCUGGAAGGCUAAUAAGCAGAGUUUAAACUAGGACAGUACUGAAGCUACUUGAAAAUUUCUUCCAGGCCUUAAAUGUACAUGAAACACUCCUGAUCAGACCACUGGAUUUUCGUGCGACCUUGACACAGCUGAGCACACUAGCACUAACAUCUGCAUUUUUAUCAGGUACCAGGAAGUCAUAGGGAUAGUCUACUAGACUUCUUUUUACUAGUAAUAGGCAACUGCUCUUUCUCUUCAGGUAUCUUGCUAAAAUGUUGCUAACAUCCUGCUAAGGUUAGCACUAAAAAGCACUAACCUUUGUUUACAUUAUUAUUUUAUGAAUGAUAAUAAUGAGAGAAGGGGAGAGAAAUGCCACAGUCUUAGCUACCAGCAAUAGCAUGAUAAUACACAAUUAUUUAUUUUGUUCUUUGCUGAUGUAGCUAUCGUUAUGUCUCAAGCAUCAGCACAGGUCAGGAAAUAACCUCUCAGAUGACAACCAGCUGACUCAAGCUGAAACAAGCAAGACAAAAACAAUACUGUGGAAGGAAAAGAAAAACACAUAAAAAAACCUGUUCAUGAGGUUUCCAUUUGUCCCUACAGGCAUUUAGCCCACAACACUGCAAAACCUUUGCCAUGCUCCUCUAGACAAGUCUGAAUGUAUACCUUUUAUUAGCUUCUGACCUACUAGCAAACUUCAUUCAGAAUGAAGCAGUCUGUUUGUGUGCCACACUCCAUCUGAAGGACAGUCUUAGUGUGUUAAACAGUGAUCUUGACCCCUGGGUUAAAGAAUAAUACAUAUGGCCUAUGAACUGUGAUAGCUGACUACAAGUCCCUACUUCACUUAUGAUGACAGUUCAAGCUUUUGAUUCUAGUUUCAGUAACUAAUCUAUAGAUCAAGUUUAGAUCUUGAAUUGUGAGGUUGCAACCAUUGCAACAACUGCUUCUUCUAGGGCAAUGCAGACCACAAAACUGAGGAGGAAGAAUAUGAGAUUAGGAACAAAUGUUCUGUGACAUUCUGAUGUGCAGGAACCUCCACAAAACAUCAAGCCAGUCCAGGGUUUAUGUUCACAAAAUAUCUUCUUGGUGUGAAAGCAUUUACUACAAAUAUCUUAGUCGCUUAGUUGCCUUGGUUUGAUUUUUGUUUUUUUCUGGUUUGCUUUAGAAAAUGAGGGACUUAGAGGGAAAAGUGAAAAGUUUUAUUAAGCUUCUGUUGCUGAUAGAAAAGUUAGAAAAAAAUUAGGGGUGGAUCACCUUUCAUCCAGGCUAAUGACUAAAUGAUUUUCUUUGUUUUUCUCUCUGCAUUGGUUACUCAUCAUAAAUUAUGUUCUCAUUGUUCAAACAUAUUUCUAGUUCCAAAUCCCUUCCUUUAUAUUUACCCCUGCCAACCUAACCUGCCUCAACUUAUUUCACAUUCCAUCUAGACUCAUUACCACUGUUACCCAUUUUACAUUAUACACUUUCCACCAGGUAGUUUAACAGUUUUUCUAAUUGUUAGGAAUGUUAUUCAUUUUCAAAGUUUUCCUUUAAUAGUUACUGUUUUCUAGAGUGUUUACACAACGUACAGGUUUUAUCUGAUAGAAUAAGAAACCUGAACAUAUUUAUGCCAAACUUUUGAAAGGAACAUUUUAACAACAAAAAAAGUUAUUUAGGAAAUUUUAUUUAUGUUUGAGGUUUUUCACCUUCCAGUUAUUUAGAAAUGAAUCUGAAUUGAAACAUCAAAACACUCAGAAAGCUGGGCAAAUCAGCAGUUCCAAUUUGUAUUACAAUUGCUCAAUUCUGGUUUGUGGCUAGAGCAUGGAGAGACUGAAAACAACAUUCUGAGAGCGAAUUCUCUGGAUUCUCUUUUAGAGAAAAGAAUAAGAAAAAUAGUUUAGCAAAACCUAGAUUGAGGGGACCUGGACCUUACAAAAUGCUUGCAGAACUCUGAAGAAGACAGUGCUGUUUCCAAAAGGUAUCUGUUUGCUGAUCAAUAUCUACAUUGACUUACUUGCAAGCGUGAAUGUGAGGCCGUGAAUUUAAGGCCAGAAUUUGUAUUGCAGAAACAUUAUUAUUCUUGAUGAGUCACAAGAAAGAACUUAGCUUGAACUUUAGAUCAGACUGCACUUGAAGGGCUAAUAUUUAGAGCAAACAGCUUUUUGUGUAACACUUGUAUGUGAUUCUAUCUGAGAUAAGCAUAAAUGUAUAAACCAUGUUAAGGAUCAGGAGGCAUAUUAGCAGAACUUUUCUAGACAGGCUGAGGGGAAAACUAUAACUAUUUAUAAGAUUAAUAAAUGUAUUAUAUAUUUGGUAGAAAUCACCUUCCAGACUGUUCCCUACUCAUUGCCUAAACACAAAGGGCCCACACCUGACUUAAUUUAUUUUAUAUCAUGUUGCUCUGAUGUAGAAAACUGAAGGUUUAAUGUGAUCUAGCUUAAUAGUAGCUUUCUCUUCCCAACAAAAUUCAUCUUUGUUUCCAGGCUUCUUGAGCACCUUAAGAACAUGAUACAAAUCAGUCUAUGACAUAGCAAGGAAAUGUACAAUGAUGCAGUGGAUAUCCUGCAAACCUUCUAUAAAGGACUUCUGCUAUAAGUUGACUGUAUUUCCCAAGAUAGGAAAUACAGGACUUCAGAAGAAAAGAGACAUCAAAUACCUUCACACAGUGUCUCCAUUUAACAAGCAAAAUGACCCUGAGACAGUUUUACUUAAAGAGCUUUGUUAAAUUUGAAUAAUUUUCUUCAUAUCAACAGGAAGAGCCAUGUAAGGAACUCAUUAGGAAGUAGAAAAUCACCCAGUGCUACAGAUUGCUCUUCUCAGGGCACCAGACAAGUGCAGAAACUAAGUAAAACUGUUUCCCUCUGCCCUCUUACUGUGCAGGUCUCCCAUCUCAUCUACCUCUGAGAUAUGUAUUUCUUCAUAUCAGACAUGAGAAUCUAGAUAACAAUUAAGAAGUUAUGACAGAACAAAAAUUCCACCCUUUAGGGAGGGGGGGUGAGGGGAGAGGGGCAUUUGCUUUCAGACACCUAAAAGAUAAGUCUAAAAACUUUUAGAAGUCUAGUGUGUGCCUUAGGUACCUAAAUUAAUUGUGAAUAAUCUAAAAUUCCUACUUCCCUAAUUAAAUAGGACUGUAGAUGCCUGUUAAUCAUAGAAAGACUUGGGUUGGAAGUGACCUUAAAGAGCAGCCAUGACUUUUCACAUACAGUGGAGAGUGGCUUGGCAACCACAUGAGCCUUCAGGACCCUGGUAUGCAUGUCGGCUGGCCCCUUGGUCUUGUACAUGUUCAGUCUCAUCAGGUGAUCUCAAACUUGCUCUUUGCUUACAGUGGGAGGGAUUUUGCUCCCCCACUCUCCACACUGGGUUUCAGGAAUGUGAGAGAUGUGGGAAGCCUGACUGGCUGUACAGACUGAGGCAAUAAUUUGUCCUCUUUCUCAUUGCUCCAGUUUGCUAGUGAAGGUGUCUUCUUCUGUGUUCUGGCUUCUGUGAAUGCUUCUGUCAAGUGUGUAACUCAUAGCACAGAGGCUUUACUUUGCUCUGCAACUGAAGAAUUCAUUGUCUAAGCACUUUUGAUUUAGACACUUCAACAAUAGGAUAAUUGGUAAUUCAGUAAGAUAGAGCAUCAGCAGUUCUCACUUUCUGCCCUUGGUGCUGGAUGUUUUCUUCUGUCACUGUUUCUGCACAGGUGUAAUACUCUGGAUCACUGGAGUCUACUAGCUGUGCUGAGGUUUGACUGGAGGAGCACUUGUAAACUUAUCUAACUGCUUUGAACCUCUGACCUUAAACACAAUUCUGAAAGUCUCUGGAGAGCAGAUGAGCACUAGCAAACUCCAGAAAGUAAUGUAUUCUGUCUGACAGAGAGUACUGAAAAAAUGGACCUUCUAUAACAGUGGUUAUUUAUGAUUCAGCUGAAAACAAAGAGGUCAGAAAAAAAAAAGGUUAUUUAAAAGAAAUUACUGAAUUUUUUUGAACAAGAAAAUGUUGGGUCUGAUCACAAUAUAGGGUCAUUUUCAGCAGCCCAAGACAUGUUUAGAUGCCUUAUUUACUCAUCAAAGCAUAUAUAAAAUUCAUCUGAAGACAUUAAAUGUUCUGUUUAAAGGAGAGCCUUAAAAUAUAUUACUUUCCAGAAGCAACUAUUGAGAGCCUAAACAUUCCUUUCUGUGUGGAUACUAUGCUUAAUUCUUUAAAUAUGUUUUAGACGAGCUAGGACUGCUGAAAAUGUGAACUCAGCUGUGGGUGGCAAAUGGUAGAGAUAUUUUCAGUUUAUUUGAAAUAUUUGACACUUUUUGUUUGCCUUGGGCUUCAACCCCCGAUAAGUGAGUGAAAUGGAUGAUCUUAGGGUUACUGACUCAUGUUUCCUGUCCUCAUGAUAAUAAAAUAUAGUAAGAACAAAUAUGGAGAAAUUAAGAAACAGCUUGGGACCAAUUGUAAGUUGGGGUGUCUUCAAGAAAAAUAAUGAAAUUCAAAAAUAAAUACAUUCAUUCAAUUUCAUUUCAGAGUCUGACUGUAGGAUGACAUUGAGUAAAUUCUUUCUUCUUUAACUUAGCAGCCAAUAGGAGGGCAGCAGUUGGAAUAUUUUAAAAUUAAUACUUUUAAAGAUAUACAGACUCUUUCAUCCUUGGGAAAAAAAAGAAAGCGCAGGUGUGAGUGGGAAAAACACAGGAAAUUAAAUUGUUAUGGGGACUAUUAAGCCUGCAUUAUGUGCCUAGUUUCCCUGCAGAAAGGCAGAGCAGAAUUCAAACUGUAAAACAGCAUUCAUUGCAGGCGGCUGCUGAACAUCUGAGAAGGGACCGCAGAACACAGGCACAUCUAUACAGGUCUGCUUCUGCUGCUAAUAGAUCAACAACAGUUAUCUUCCAGUGCUGACUCCAUAUUAAAGUCAGCAAGAUGAUCUGCCUCAUUUGCUAUGCUCUGGAAGAGACAGUCUAGGUUCUGACUGACCACCUAUUGACUCCCUUAUACUGUGAGACUACUGGGCAUUGGAAGGAACACUGAAUGGAGAAUGCUUCCAAAAGCUCUUUUUACGGGAAGCUCCCACAUAUCCCUGAUUAGCUGUUGCUUAGGCUCAUUGGUGUUGAAUCAGAAGAACACAGUUUAUUUUAAGUUCCUGCAACGUUUUCUCCAAAGCUGGAUUGACUUAAUUUUUGUUCUGGUGUCCUUUCUUAUUGUUGCAUAUAGCAUUUGUUGCAUCUUUCAUUUGUAACAAAAUCAUACAAAUGUUGGCUGGAAGGAACUGAAGGUCAUCUUGUCCAGCAUCCCACUUGGAGCAGGACUUUCGCCAAUACUAGAUCAAAUCGGCCAUGUUUUUUAAUGGCUAGGUGCUGAAAAGCUCCCAUGGAGGAGAUUCCACCUCCUCUUUGGGUAACCUUUAGCAGUACUAUACAACUCUUGCAGUGAAGAAGUUCUUCUAAUAUCCAGUUUGAUCCUUCCUAUGCCAAUAUAGGAAGAGUUCAGCUUCACUGUCUCUGUAACUAUCCUUCUAAGAGAGGUAAGCUGUUACAACUGAAAGUUUGUAUCUUCAGUUUGGAGAUCAAAAUGAACAGAAGACUUUUCCCCUCCAUAAUAGCGAAUGAAAAAUAUUCUUCAGAUUUAUCAAUACUCCUUGCAGGUCCACAUGGCAUUUUGCCAUAUGCCACAAAUUCUCCAAGAGGGGCAGCUUCAGGAUUUGGGUUUUGCUUCAUGUUGAAUACAUAGAUCCAAAAUGCCCUUUCAUUGUAUGGACUGCUCUCAGUGAUGUUGUCAAAACUGACUUUACAGGCCUGGAUGAAGCAAUAAAGUAAUGUGAUGUGUUAGAUAUUAGUAGUGCACAGUGAGACGGUAUUUGUAGUUGAGAAUAAUUUCUCCUCUGGUGCACUUUUUGGUUGUUCCCGCUCAGGGCAGUGGAAUAGAAUCACAUCAAUUUAUAUCCCACAGAGCAUAAGUAUAUUGACUUUCAGCUCACACUGUGGAGUAUGUAAUUCUUCCUAACAUGUUUUGUAAAGGGAUAUUUGUUAUAACACUGGGUGAUGAGAGAAUCCCAGCUUGAGGUGAAAAGUUCUGUGUUUUGAACAUUGUUCUAGCUGCAUAUAUGUUGUUUAUGUGUGCACAUUUUCAAAUGAAUAAUCUUUAAGAAGGCAUAUAAAGCAUGAAAAGCAGUAAUGUGUACUCCAGGGAACUGUCAUCUCUUCUUUACAAAUCCAUUAAACAGAGUCCAUCUGCUGACACUGGCUUCUCAAAGACGUUAAGGAACAGUUGACUCACUGAGUGAGCUAUCCAGUUAUUCCCUGGUUGCAUACACUGAAUAUAGCUAACCAUAAACUCUGUAUCUUGUGGACUAUGAUAUUUGAAUUGUGCUUUUUCUGCUCUCCCUCAUCCAAUUUCUUCACCAAGCAAUGUCUAAUAUCCUGAAAUGACGAUCCUGCAAAAAACCAUGAACACAAUAACAUCAAACUUUUUAUAAUGAUAAUGAAGGCAAAGGACAAAAUGACUUUUCCUUCUUCAAGUGUUAGACAUUUUUUCCAGUUUUAGUGGGAGAGAAUUCAGCAGUCAUCAAGAGAAGCAGACAGAACCCCUCACUGCCAAAGUGAAGUGCCUGUGUUCUCAAGAUCUUAACACUCCUAAAGGGGGAUGUGGAAUAAGUCUUCUGGAGAUGUCAGCAAGACCGCAAAUAGCUUGAGAAGAAUUAAGUAAAAUUUUAAAAUAAUAGACUAUAGGCAGUCUGUGGGAAGACCCCCAGUACACAUGGAAUAUGUGUUUGGCUUAUACCAGGAAGACUUGCAGCUGUGUUUUUAAUAUAAGCUGAUGUCUGGAACGUAACAAGAUUUAGCUAGAUGGCAUGUAAAAUGGAAUGGUUGCAGCUAUAACAUAAAUUACAUGAUAAAUUCAGCAUAACUACUUGAUUAUAAGCAAUUUUUUUUACCUCAUUUAAUGUUAUAUGAGUAACAUAUAUCUAAACUCAUAAUUAGUACUACAUUAUAGGAAAAGACUGAGCUGAAACAGAAGCAGAAUCAUAUCAAUAUGAAGAAAAAUCACAGAUAAUUUAAAUCUUUGAUUCCUAAUUUUCAGAAAUUAAGUGGAUUUCAAACAGCAUUACAAGAUUGAACAUAAUCAUUGUAUUUAGUACAAACUCUCAUAUGUGAUUUUUGCCUUCCGGAACAACUAACACGAGCAAGGAUUUCAAGUUUGGCAACCAUAUGCCCUGUAUUCAUAUCCAUAGGCCCCAGAAGGAUAAUUCUUAAAUCUACAAACUGUCUCGUGCAGCCUCUUUUUUUUUCCUGGAAGAAUAUCCUAUUACUUAGUGCUGUGCUGGGAGUACCUGGGGAAAUAGUAAAAGGAAAUACAACUGAGAGCCACUGUGGUUUGACUCCUCUCCAGAUACUUUGAAAAUAUUUUGGCAAAAACAAGAUUUUAAGUAAAACUGUUUCCUUUGGUAGCAUACCGAGAACUGCAGGUUUUACAUUUUUGUACUUAGGAUGGAGGGCCAAAAAAAAAAGCCCUUGUGUGAGAAGUGUGUACACGUGGUAGUAAUAUUGGUGGGGAAGAAAGAGAGAGCAAGGGGGGAAAUUUGAACAAGAUGCAGAAAGAAGUCAAGGAGAGAACACUGAAGGGAGAAGCAUGAUGGUUUGUUCAUCAAAGGAUGACUGUGAUGAAAGACGAGAACUGAGCCAUGAUUUCUUUUUUCUCUGUUUUGUUGUCAAGCAGUGUCAGCGUGGGAGCUCUUGAACUCAUUGCAAUUGCAGGAUUUCUUUCAAUUACAGGAGAUUCCUUAGACUGCUCCUGAUUUCUUUUUCUCUCUGAAGUUUUUAGUUAGAGAGGGAAGAAUUGCCAUGAAAAGAUUUCUUAAUGCAUUGUCCAUACAGAUUGUUGUAGAUAUCUAAGUAGCUGGGAGAUAUAUGAAUAUUCAAAUGAAUGAAAUGAAACAUUAACGCCUUUACUCUUCAGUUUUUCUCCUUUGAAAGAUCUUUGUGUUUUUUUAGCUACCACUGAUUGCAAACUAUUUGGCUGCAUGCUGGGAUUCUCACUCAUGUUUAUCAUUUUAUUGCUGUCAUGCUCUCUGCAUUUCAGUUACACAGAACAGGGCUGGUGGCAUUCAGCAAAACAAUGCAAAUUAACUCCCCUUAACUAUCAGUUAAUUAGCUAGAUAAUUUUAAUGUAAAUGCUUCCUUUUAAUAGCUUCUUUCCAAAUAUAAAAAAAUAAAAAAAUAUAUUAAAAAAUCUCCCUGCCAUGGGGUUCAGCCAAGCAUAUAUUUACGGAUGAGUGUAUUUAAAAUAACAGUGGCCAUUCACUGUGACCACAUAUGUGUUUCCCCUCCCUUUUUAUUAUGUCUCCAUUUUUGUUCAAUUUAUGAGAGGAUUUUUUUUUCCAGGUUAAAUUCUUUUUUUCCUUUUGAGAAGUACUCACCUUAACAGGGCUGGUCACCCCCUUUCUGCUUUGAAUGGAAAUGUCAUGGACUAACCACUCAGGCUUUUCUUCAGCAAGAUGAUUUUUCUGUCCCAGAAGCCACCUUCUGGGAUGGAUUCCAAAAAGCCAUUGUUUAAAAAGGAAGUAAGUCAACUUCAAUGGGAUUAUACAGAUGAUCACUUAAUUUUUUUUGUAAAUGGGAGUGAUAUGGACAUACGUAUUAAGAGAAGUUAGGGAACAUGUGAGGUGUGAAUUCAGAAGUAGCCAGAAGACAGGACUUCAAAUCAAGAAGAAAAAAAAAGAGGAAAGAUUAUGGGCUGAGUACGAGGAGAGGAUGAAAGUUGAGGGGGAUUUAAGACAUUUAGGAUGUAACCUUUGUGUUAAGUGUGAGGCAGGAGAAGAACCCAGUUACAAAUCUCUGAAGGAUAACUAUGGAGAUGAAUUUUGAUAUCUGAGAAGAAAGUCAAAUGGACAUAUUUCAUUAAUGAAUGUACCUGAACUCAUGGUUUGAUUUUCAUUUGAACAAAUAGAUUGAAUUGGUUCUUAUUUAAAUGAACCAUAGAGAAAUAAUACAAAAUUUAAUCUAAGUGGUUUUGUUCAGUGGGAGAAAACUCUGCUAAUGUGAAACAAUGCAUAAUGUCCAGUAACUGGCAACUUGCCUCUUUCCUGUACCACGCUAAAUCUUUUUUCUCAGAGGUUGAGCUUCAUUGUUCUUUGAACAUUGUUGAAUUCCUUAGUUAUUACAUGCUGAAAUCCAGCAGGUUUAACCAUGUCUAUGUAGCCUUUUUGUAGAAAUUCUUUAAUGCGCCAACAACAACUACUGCUUCUGCUAUUUGAAGUUUUUCACCUUGAAAACCUGGUGUUUUCUGCUUUUCUUUUGUUAAAAGUUUUGAAUGGCAUACUUAACAUCUAAUACAGCCACUGCAGCUAGGAAUCCAAGCUGCUCUUACGGUAAUCAAGGAAGAAAGGAUGUGUCUAAUAUAAUUGGUCUUUGAAGACUAUCUUCAGUGAAACAUGCACCUUUUGGUGUUCAAAACUGAAAUCCUCUUUCAUGUAGCUGUCUUUCAGAAGGAGAAUAGAAAGUAGUCUGGAACUUGGAGCUGCAGUAUUAUUUUUCAUUUCACUUCUUCUUAGAUGGCAAAUGAUCUGCGAGUCCUACAACUGCUUCUCUUAUCUGCUGCAAAUGGUUUGCUGAAGGCAUGAGAAAUAGCAGCCCUACAGGGAGUGUAUCCCCUCUCUAGAAAUGGAAAUGAGCAUUAUAUGAAAGCCAGAUGAUGGAUACCGUAACCUUCUUCUCAGUCCCAUCUAUUGACAGACUGUGCAACUCUGCACUUGGAUACUUUCAGUAAAAAAACGGAUGUUGCUGAAAGACCUUACGCAAUGGCAACUGAGAUGCUCAGAGGUGGACUGAAACAAAUAUAUUUUCUUAACCAUAAGUGCUUAGAGGAAGAAAAACACAGCAAUUUAGUGGAGCAAUACAGGGAAGAGCCUUAGUUCAAAUAGAGAAUGGUUAAUUUGUGAAAAAAUACUGUGUUUUCAUAUAACCAGUACAUUGUCAGUUUUUCCAUAAACAGUGAAUGCGUUCCAUUGAAGUCUCUGCCAAGAAGCUUUAAUUUCUACAUCUAAUUCUUUCAAUAUCCGAAGUCAAUUUUUUAAAUGUUCGUGUGCUGUCUUUUAAAACAAAAGCUGUGAUGGAGAAAUUCCCAAGAUUACUUCAGCUGUGGUCUGUUCUAGUACUCUGCAGCCUACCGCAGAAAGCACAAUGGAUUUCUCCUUGAAUUCAUUGUAGAACUAUUUUUCAGUCAUUUGCAAAACUAUUCUUAAAUUGAAUGAGACUUUAAACAGUUAUUAUUGUAGAUUGAAGUGAAUGUCCUUUUGAAGGUGUCCUAAAGGUACUUAGGAUGCUUAGAAGAAUAAUCAGUGUGUCCAUUUAGACUUUGGGCUGUGCUGAAGACUGGGCUCCUUUUUCACAAUGGCACUAAUCUUUGAAAGUGUGGGUCACGUUAGUAAAAAUCAUAGUGGUUGCAAUGACUGGUAUGAUAUUCUCAGAUUGCUGCUAGACACAGCAUUCACUAUGUCUGAGCUCUUCUCCAAAGAAGAAUAUUCAUUUACUGCCGUGAAUUUUUCUCUUUCUGUCCUUUUACUUCCCCCCUUCUUUUUUCUUAUUAUUUUCUUUUAUCUUUCUAGAUAAAACUGCAGUUUAUUAAUUGAUCUCUAGAAUUGUUGGGCCUGUAAUUCACAUCUGCAUAUACAUAUAUGUAUGAUGCCCUGGAUUUAACUUCCGGGUGCUGGCAAAUGACCUGAACUGCUGAAAACCUUUCAGUUAGGAGAGAUAUACCAUGAUGAUGAAUCUGUUCAGUGUCAGGCAGUAUCCCAAUAUCAGCGGCCUUCAAAUCCCAUGGACGAGCAGGUAUUCUGCUUCAGGUGAAUACAUUUUCACCCACAGACAUCUCUUUAACCCUCUGUAACAAGAAAACAGAACAAUGCAUUUGAUCCUAUACUACCCUCUUUUUCUGCUGGUAUUCCUACUUUAUCUGCUCACUACUCUUUUGCUUGUGUUCAUCAUCCCUAUCAUCCUAUACUUCUCUUCCCUCCUUGCUCUCUCGUUCCUUCCAUUUCUUCUGAGAAAGCCUCCAAUCUUUGCAAGUCCAUGCCAUUUGAAGAAUGAAUCUUUGACUUUGACCAUCAGAAGUGAAACACCUCAGACAUGAUCACAUCCCCUUCAGUUUGUAGCCAUCCAGUGAUCUACCUGCAUCUUUCAGUGAUGUGUGACUCAUGCCUUUACUAAGCACAGCCAGUUGUUGACAUUCCAGUUCAUGUGUAGCACUAACACCAGUUGCAAGGUAAUUCUGUGUUUUGCUUGCAACUGCUGAAACUUUGUUUUCCAGUCGCUGGGGACUGGAAAAAAGGAAACAGCACUCUCAUUUUCAAGAAAGGAAGGAAGGAGGACCUGGGAAACUACAGGCUGAUGAGCCUGUGAUUGUGGACUUAGAGGAAAGGAAAGCAUAGAAUGGCAUUUCAGUGUAGGUACAGUCUCUGUGAGCAGGAUUGUUGCUCUCCAUCAGGCAUUAAUAAGAUUAAUUUUACCAGUAGGAGAAAAAAAUCUCUGUUGCAUGUAUUUGAUGCAUACAUGUGGGCUGAUGUCCCAAAGAAUUCCUGGUAUUAGUUAGCAGCCUCCUUUCUCUCAAUUUUGUUAAGGCCAAUUAACAUUUUGAAGGAAAGAUUGGAAUUCUAUCUUGGUAUUUUUUCUUUUGACAUAAAAGUACAUUGAAGUAAUACUGUGAUUCACAGCCACUCUUACUGUGUUUAUUUCUCUUCUGUGUUUACUCAGUUUCUCCUUAUUUCAGUGGUUGUUUUCUUUUUUUAAGAUUCUUCUGCCAAAUUAGCAUUUCAUCUAUUAGAUUACUCCAUAAAUAGCAUAAAGCUAUUCAUGACAAAAGUGUCCUAGUUAAUGCUGAUAUAAUUGUUAUCAGUUUAACUUAAAAAAAAAUACUGUUACGCAUUUUAAAAUAACCUAGACAAAAUGGAUUCUUUGAAUUUCCUUUACAUUCACUUGGAAAUAGACAUAGAUGAUCAAAUGUGAUGAAAAAUGUUAGGAAUUCUUUUAAAGCAUACUGUUCAGAUGUAGAUUUUUAUCAAAGGCAAGAUAGAGGGAGCAGAUGACACAGAGACAUCUACCGGUAAAGUAAGAGAGUAGUGUUGAACACAAGCGCUCAUUUAGCCCUUCUGGGAGACUCCUUGCACUGAACUGAGCAUUUGCAUCUUCAUUAAUGUAUUAGAUUUGAUUCAUGGUGUUCUUAUCUCCCAGGGUUCCGGCAUUCUUUAAAGCACAGAUAUGAAGUGGUUUACGGUGGAAGCAACUUCUCCUUGGUGACUUCACAGAUGACACUUCACAGCUAAGACUAGUUAAGAACAAAAUUCUUGUUAUUAAUGAAAAAUCUAAGUCUCACAGCCUCAUCUUCAAGAUCAUGAAUGAGGGUGCUUUUGUUAAAGAGAAAACCUUUGGGACCAAGCAGGUUUUUUCAGCCAACAAUUGGUUCUAACUUCUUCCAACAGAGGACAUACGUGCAUUGAAGACCUAUAUCAGUUGCAUCUCAUCUGUUGGUACAAGACCAAGAAGGUAAGAAAACACUUUCACUUCUGAAUGGUCCUUUCUGACUAUUUGUAAGUGAAGGACAGAUGCAUGCUCAUUUGUCACAUCACCGGGAGACUGAUUUGAAGGAUAUUCUCUGCUUUCAGAUUCAGAGGCAGAAUUUCAAAGAUAGGAAGCAAAGAUACUAAAGAACAAGCAUAAUGAAGCAUUGCAAAAUAAAUAAAAACAGGAAAAAGAAGAUUUUGCAACUGCAGCUGUUGCCUUUUCUCCCUCUUUAGAGAUUUUUGCACUCUCCAUCAGUAUCAGGUCCCGUAUACUCCAGACCCUAAGUGUGUGAAGAUGCAGAGUAAUCUUCUUCCAAAACCAAAUGUAUUUUUGACCCUCGGGGCUGAUUGGGUGAUAAUGUGUGACCUGUUGUGAGAGAGAAUAGAACUGUGUGUUGAUGUUAAUGGAAGUUACCCCAGUAGUAUAAUGCCAGGACUUCUCAGGGCUUAGAUUGAAAACUGAAAGACCAGACUUGUUCUAUGUCAUAUUUGCUCUGCAUUCAAUUAAAUGUAAAAAGACUCAGAGCUAUGGUCUCUAUCUUAAUAUAAAAAGAUAUAAAUAUCUUUAAGUCUAUGUCUACUGUAAGCCGUACACUGGACAGCAUACUGCAGAAUUGACAAGUCUCGUACCAGAAGAUGUGGAACUCCAGUAAUUGCAUGGGAAGGAAAAAGAAGAAAAAGCAUGAAGCAAGACUUGAUGGCAAUAAUAAUUAUAAUAUCCUAAGAAAAUAAGUUUAACAAGUGUAAACAGAGACAUUAAGCAUGAAGUUGAUUGAAGGCAAUAGGAAAAAAGCAGAAAGCACAUUAAAAACAAAAGAGAUAAAUUAUUUUACAAAAUUCUGGCUGAAUAGAAAGCAUUCUUAAAUUAUCUUGUCAAACAUAAUAAAAAACUGAAUAGGUAUUUGGGCUGAGAUUUCACCCAAUGCAGUAAAAUGCCUUAGGUGUCAUGAGUCAGAAGGAGUAAUUCUGACUCAUGUAGCUGUGAGUCAAUUUUUCAUCAGGUAGUUUCUAGAACAAUAAUUUUUUCACAUGAAAAUGUAUUUUUGUGCUGAUCUAAACAAAUUGAAAGCAUUUUCAUUUGUUUUUCAUGAGCAACGCAGAUGUUGUUUGGCAACUUACGUACAAAGCACCAUAGAUAAAAACCGUGACAGCACAGAGGAAAUGGAUGAAGUCUAUUUUUUCAGCAGAACCAAAGAUCUCCAAAGCUUCAUACAGUCUUUGCCAGGAAAUGAGGGGAGAUUAAAUGAGGCUGGGGUCUCUGUGUUUGUGUAGUUUUAUCCAUCUCACAUGGAAACAAAAGAAAAAAAUCUCUGGAGAUUUCUUUCUCAUGCUGGAAGCUCCAGUAGGCAGGAAAGUACAUUCUUUUAAAUCUACUGAACAUUUUAAGUUUAUUCAUUGUACUGCAUAUGUAUUUUCUCCAGAUGUAAAUCAGUAAUGGAAAAGCUAAUAUCAGAGUUUACAAUGAACAUGUAGCCUGCAUACAAAUUGCAGCAUAGACACUUCCAAUUUUUGAUGGCUAAAAGCUGUAACCCUUGUACCAAAUACUUUGUUUCCACAAGGAUUUAAGGAGUUUGUACAUAUGAAUCACGUCAUUUGCUCACCCUGAACAUAAAUUGCACAUUAUUAACCAUAAAUUAAUUUUGGAGUGAACAUACUUCUGUGUCCCUUUCUGCUCCCAACUUACACACAUGUACUCUCAAUAAACCUAAAGAGAUGUUACAUGGCAGUUAAAUUAAAGGCUGUAAUCUUAUAUUGCAUGGUUGAGGGCCAGCCCUUUCUCAAGCACUAUCACUUGAGACCAUUCAAUUUCUUGACUACAUGCUCGUAAUAUCUCACUAGAUAACUCAUAAAUUUUUCAGCCUCUUUGGCUUUAAAGCCUUUGAAUAGAGACUACUAAUGUCCCCCUUUAGAUAACUCAUAGCCAAGCUAUGUAUAUAUUUAGCUGUUUUUAUCUUUCCUCAUAAACUCAGUUCUUUAAUAAUUGUUUUGUUGUGUUCUGAAUCCCUUCCUGUUAGGAGGAACCACUCUUAUUGCAAGUUGCUCAAAAACGAAUGUAUUUUUUGAGGUUUCUUCACCAUAACUUAAUGCUCCACUGUUUGCAAUUAAAUUUUUUUCUUGCUAACAUAUUGCACUGAACAGUCAUGACAAAUAUUUUAUCUGUGUCUCUUCCAAAACUGUUUCCACAUCUCUCCAUUCCUGUCUUUCUAUACAUUUCUCUUUUUGUCCUCAUUAGGCAGCAAUUAAUUCCCCAGAAUUUUACAUUGCAUGUUUCUAGUUAUAACAGGAGAAUGGUGGUUUAAGAUACUAGUAAAAAUUUUGAGAUGUCUGGUCCUAUUUUCUGCUCUAUGGAAAACGAGUCAAGUAGGACUUUUUUCACAAAAUGGACCUGUGAACUUAAGUGCAUUUCAACACUGCAAAAUGCCCGUAUGAACUGAUACUAGUGUUGUUUAAAUGUCAUAGAUAAAGUACCUUUUUCCUUGCCACGUUUUCAAUUCUGGUAAAUAUUUGAAUUGUAUUUUCUGUGUUUACCCUUGCCAAUUUAUCUGGGAUUUCAUUGAAUAUGUUCCUAAGUACCUGCCAAAUACCUGCAUAAAUUUAGCAUGUUUCUGGAUUGAUUGAUACUUAAGGGGCAUAUUGACAAAAGAAAAGAAAUUCCCAGAUGGCUCUGUAGUAUCUGAACAAGAAUUUGUGCAAUUAAAAAUUUGUGAGGAAAGCAGAGCCACCAGCAACUAGUGCAUUUCUUGUGCAGGGCAGUGAAAUUACCCACAUUCUCAUGUAGUUUGCUGGCAGUUACAGCUGCCACUUUACUGUACUUUCUCCUUUUAAAUAACCACAGUGAGUGGGCUGGUUGUUCCUGGUGGCAUCAACCAAGCCAUUAAUGCUGGCUUCCCAGUAUAUUAAGCUGGAAAAUGCCUCUGGUGUUUAUUUAGAAGGUAACCUCCUGUCUGCCUUGCCUAUCAGCAUUCAAAAACCAUUAUGAGAAGAAACAUUUUCUGGUAUUUUGAGGGAUAUUUUUCAGUCAGACUUUCAAGCCUGUCUGCAUACAGAAGCUCUAGUUAUAUAGGUGUUUGCAGGAUUUCUUAAAAAAAGAGCUGGGAUUACCAUAUCCAUACUUUGAAGAAUGGUAUCAUAACACUCCACAAAUGGUUUGCAAAGGUUUCAUCAACAGUACCUGAAAUUUGAAAUGGCUGCUGCAGUGAUGAGUUUCAGGGCUCUGUGAUACUUUCCCUGCUGUCAGACCAGACAUAAAUAAGCCAUAAAUAAACAGCUGCACAUGUCCCAAGUAGCAUAUUGAAAUGUAAAGUGUCACUAUCUUUGUUUAUGUCCUCCAAAGUUGGCAUCAAUUACUGCUUCCACAGUUGAGCUUAAAUGUUUUCUCUGUACUUAUGCUAGUAAAACAAUUUGCAUCCAUGCAAUGAUUUAAAUACACCUUAAUUUUCUACCUCUCUUAGCUAGCAAGUAAAUGUGAGUAAAUGAGAGUAUAAAGGGUUACCUUUAGACUAGGAGUGAGAUACAUGGACACAUAGACAGCUAAAAGUACUUUGGGACCCUAAUCCACUGAAAUAUCGAUUUCAGUUUUUAAGACUCCAAAAAUGGAUCUUGCCAUUUGACUUUUGUGGUAGUUAUUCAAAAAUGCUGGACCUAACAUGCACCUCAAAAGCUAUACUACAGCCUUCACUAAACUUCUCAGAAUAAUACAAUAGUUAACUUCUGCUGUUGCAUGUGGUAAAGAAGCUCCUUAAAGACUCAUAUGAUGAGAUUAAUAAGAAUCUACCAGUGUUGAGAUUCACUGGAAAAGUAUCGACUCUAUUCUUAGCUUCUUUUUCUUUUAUUAUCUGUGGACUCACCCUGAGAAUGUCUCUGUAAGUUCUUCUUUCAAAUAAGCAUUCACUAGUACAACAGAACAAGGUUUUCGUUUGCUCAGAAAUUAAGCUGGCAGCUAUCAGAUUAAGAGACUAUUACCUGCCUGAACCAAUUCCUGGUUUUAAAAUAUGGCACUGUCUGUUGCUUCAUUUGGAUACAUCACAAAUACUAUGUUUUUCAACUGACAGCCUAAUUACUGUCUAGUGAUUAGAGUUUGGCAUAAUAGACUGUCUCAUGGAUUGCUUUAGUUAAUGCUUUGCACGAACAUUUCAUAACUGAAGAUCAUAAAAUGGCAAGCUAAGUUAAUUCACAGGCGUGAAUGGACCUGAAAAGUUUAACCUCUACCACAUUUUUCCAGCUGGUUAUCCAUUCCCAGUAACUCUCUCUUGUUACAGCACAUGCACAUACUUUCAAAAGGAAAGGUUAUAUCACCAACACCACUAAAACAUAAAAGUCUGUGCACUCAGUGCACAACAGGUUUUAUGCAGGCAGAAUCCUCCUCCUCCUCCUCCCCUCUGGCCUUAAAAAUACUUUCUUGUUUCAAAUUGCAUAACUCUUUCGGCAGUUACAGAUGUGCCAAGAGUCCAGCUUUGGCUGGGAUGGGUUUUUUUUGUAUCGGUUACAGUGGUCCCUGCCAAUGUCUCAGCUCCUCUGGCCCCGGAAGGCUGUUGUUCUCCGAGUGUAGCAGCACCGCUCUUGGCUGCAUGUUGCCCCUCUUGUUCAGGCUUUGCUGGUGGCCUCAGACACGCAGGCCUCUGCUGCUGGCUGCUCCCACAUCUCAGUGCUGCAGGAGCACACAGGAGAAUAUAAAUCCCCUGGGAUGAUCAGCAUUAGUGAAUGGGUCCUGGUCACUGGUUUUGCCACCAGGAAAGCUGAUUUCCUGACAGCCCUUUAGGAUAGUGGUAGUCUGGAGACAGCCUUUGUUAAAAGUCACUUUCCAGCCAGUAGGCUUAACCCCAGCACUUGCCCACAAAAUGUUUUACCUCUGGGUAUCCCAGCAAACCUCACUAAGCAGUUGUUGAGGACCUCAGAAGCAUAAGACUGGAGAUCAGAAGGAACAAUAACUAAUCAGAGCUGUUCAUGAAGAAAGGCAUCCUCACUGUUGGACUAAAUGCUCUUAGUGGUCUUUUCCAAACUUAAUGAUUCUAAAAUUUUAUGAUGACAUCUGGACUGCUCUACAGUGCUGGAGAGAAAGCAAGGAAUGGGCCUAAAAUGUUCCCGCUGGUCUCUUGUGUCCUAAUGAGUCAGAUCAGUGUUCACCCACCUGGGCACCUCAGAUCCAGGGUGGCCUACUCAGGACAUUUGAUCCAACCAGGUGAAAUCAACAGGACUAGAGUUGGGCCUGUAGCUUGGCAGCAGGACAAUGUACGUGUAAAACCAUUUCUUUUUCAAACUGUCGUUACUGGACUUUCAAACAAACAGCCAUCUUCUAACCAAGGAUCCCAAAUCCCUGUGACUCUCUGUCACAACGCAAGUUCAGGGAAAUUAUUCUUCUUUCUGGCAAAACCGUGAAGGAAUCAUUUGGCCUUGCUGCUGCAGUAAUUGGUCACCUUUUCACACAGCUGUAGGGAUUUGUCAGGCUGAGCUUACAAAGCUAAAAACAAAAGAGGACUGAACAGGUCGACUGAUUUUUGGUUCUCUGUUGUGUUUUCAUCUUUCUCAAAUCUUGUAAAAUUUCAGAACCAACAAACAAAUAUCAGAACUUGAAACUUUGACCUACUUUUUUUCUGGCUCCACCAUUCUGGCUUUUGUCUCUAGGGAGUGUUUACAUUUGGUGUAAAAAUGAUCCAGGCUGUCAGCACUUCAAAAAGCAAACAGAGGAAUAAAGGUUGGGUUAUUUUUGUUUGUUUUGUUCAGCAUGCUUCAAAAACCGAGAGCUAGCUGGGUAUUGAAAUGACAUACAAACCUGUUAUGUGAAUAUUACAUAAAUAUAAAAUCCAAGUUCAGAUUGCAAAGUGACUGGUAGGGAAUUAAAACAUCAUUAAAUCAUAGGUAUUUGAACAACUUUUCAUUCAUCCUGAGAAUGCUAACAAAUCAUAAGAGUGGUCUAUUUUAACACAAAUGAUUAAUGAUAGCAGAAAUAUGUCCUGUCUUCUUCACCACUAUUAUCAUUCAUCUUGAAGUCUGAGAACAAGAAAAAUACCAUGUGCAAAAUACUGCUUGUCCUGUCUGUCCUGUAAUCUUGUGUAGAAGGUAACCAUGCCAUCAUUCAGAAUGAAGGCUGCCAGGGAUUCAAAGUAUGCUGAAAACUGCAGUGGAUCUGGCAAAGCUGAGAUGUUUUCAGACUCUGAAAAGAUAUGGACAAGGAACAGAUCCCUCCCCUAUUAAAGGAAAGGAGGGGGUAGGAAAUCAUAGGAUUUUAAAUCAGGUAUGGUUGCAGAAGUGAAGCUAUGCUACACUGAAACUCUGUGGAGUUUAAAUUCCCUCCCAGUUUGCAUUAAAAGUUUCAGGCAGCUACUCUGAAGGCUGAAAGAAAAGACAUACAGAGAAUAGCUCACAAAGAUACUCUAAAAACUGUUCAGCCAAGCCUUUACUUAAAUCACUUAAAAAAUAAGGGGCAUAUUCAAAGGAAAUUAGAAUCUGUGAUGAAAUAUUUGAUGUUUUUGUUCACAUGUGCCACUCUAACACAGAACACAGAUAGAACUUCCUACCGCAUCUUCUUCCCUCAGUUUCCAUCUUAAGGAAUAUUCAAUCAAAAUCAGCAUUGCUUUUUUGUCAAAAAGCGUUACACAAACAUAAUUAUUUUCCUUCUAGCCAUGACUCAAUCAACAUUCACUCCAGACUGUCCUCAUCACAUCAUAAAUUUUUCCACUCAAUUUACCUUUUAGUGUGAAUGCAAGAGAUUAACAUCCACCUUAAAAGUAAAGAAAUUUUAAUCAUUCUUGAAACAGAUCAUUCCACUUAUGUGUCUCCAGUUUAGCAACCAAAUGGUAAUGUAUUUCAAUAUUUACGCCUACAGCUAGAUGAGGUGGCAGCCAGAAGAACUGUAACUUUGGAAAGCUGGUUUUCCUUUAUUUUUCCCCCUCAUUUAUUUAUAGCUGUGAAGACUAAUAGCAGAAAAAAAGUCUAUGAAAUCUCACUUGAAGACAUUCCUGGGACAUAGGCUAUGAAAAGAUGGGUCAGUAGUUUUCAAAUAAACCAACUGAUGCAGACAUUAAAUAUAAGCCUUGUGCCUUAUUAAAGCAGUCCUAUGGGAGACCACUUAGUCUAAGUACUUGAGGCCACGUGGGAAAUAGCCAGUACCACUUCCCUAAAGAUCCUAUAUUCACCUCCUCCCCUGUAUGCGAUUACACAUAGCUGGGAUCCAACAGGUAGAGACAGUCAUUAAGAACAGUACUUCUGUUUGGCUUUCAUGAUUAAGUGAUGGGGAGGGAAAAGCCCUGAACUUCAGGCUGCUGGUACAGUAGCACUGGUUUGUGCAAAAUGAAUCAGUCUCUGCUUUUUUCCUAGAGGACAAAACCAUAUUUCACUGUGAAACACCAGACUGCUAAGAGCACUAAUUACCCGUUCUGUUAGCAACUUCUGUUCAAAUGUCAGGAAUUAAAGAAACAAUCUGGGUCGUGUUUUGAGCUCAGUAACAGCAAUGCAAAUUAUGGUAAAGUAUAACUCUGUGUUUACAACAGAAAAUCUGUGCAUUUGACUGAUACUGAUAUUACAUAUAUUGGUUUUUUAUCACCAUGGCCCUUAAUCACAAAAAUGUCUGGGCCACGCUGGUUUGAGGAAACUUGCACUCUCUCUGCAGUUGUUAUGUAGGUAAAUAUUGUGGUUUAAGUGCUAAAAUGCACAUAGUUGAAAAAUAAUUAUCCAUAGUGUUAGCCAAGAAAAACUUGGCAAGCAUUCUAAUGCCAUAGAGCUGGAAAGUUAUAGAGCACCUUUAUUUUUUUUUUUAAGUAAGUAGAAAUAGAUAGAAUACAUCAGUUAGAGACACAACUUCAGAUGGAUUUAAGGAGAUUAUUGUUUUUUAAAAGGAACAUUUGCUCCAACUUUUGAACAGAAUCAAACAAUACUGUUUAAAUUCCUUUAUUCUGUGAAUCUUCUCUCCAGAAAGGACAUUUGCAGGAGUAACUAAGCACACUUAGAGUAAAUAUUACAAAUGUUCAAGAAAAUUUAUUCCUAAUGUAUGCUGAAUCAAGAAAUUGACCUAUAAUGUUGUUUUCUUGUCAUGUCCAUAUAAAUAGAAGCAAGAACACCAGGCUUACAGUGUUCAAACACACAUUCAUAUUGAUUAUUUAUAGAUGAAUACAUGAGAUAGGUAUUUGAACACUUGAGUAUUAAUACUUCCUCCACUGCCCUCAUUUAAAAAAUCAGGUCCAAAAAAUUCAAAUUAGAAUCAUUUCACAAUUUUGUCAUGAUUUUGAAUGGCUGUAGUCCUGGAAACAGCAGUCACUUAACAACAACCUGGAAAAUAAAAAAUAAAAUAAAAUGUAAAAUUCAGCUAGAAAGCUGUUCACUGCAAUUCCUUCACCAUUUUAAUAAUUAGGGAUCGAACACUCUAAAUAUUAAGUUACUGCCCUUUUUAAAAUGUAGCAGUAAUUUCAGAAGAUCAAACUGUAUAAUUACAGCAUUUUCACCUGAACAAAAAAAAUCAAUAUUUACCUUUCUGUCUUGAAGGCAUUAAUAAAAGUGAUUCAGAGACUUUGGACUACCAUAUGCAAAACUUGUAUAUGGAUUUUUUUUUUUCAGUAGUUUAAUGCAUUUUGUGCUUCAUUGUACUGUAAGAUAAAUAGUAUUCAUUCCUGGGCAUCCAUAGCUAAAAUAAAUAUGUUUUGUACUUUAUGCAAGAAAAGAGCUACUUUAUCACUUUCUAAUGCAAUGUGUCCAAACUUUGUUAUCAGAGCACGAGUGCUUGCCUUAAGAUGAACCUAGUAUCAGCAACCUUACAAGUGAACAAAUAAAACACGUGCUGAUAAAAACGUGCUGAAAGCAUUCCUUUUGUAAAAGGCAGUUAAAGUGCACCAACCUUAGUGCUUUGUUGUACUCUAGAGUGAGACAGGAUUCUUACAUUUGCAGCCUACUCUUUCUUAAUUUAUUAACUUUUGUGAAAAGAAUGAGAAAGACUUGCAAAGAGGUUAAAACUUGCAAGUUCAGGAGGUAGCCUUUUUGGCAACAAAACCCAAGAACCAUCCACUUAUCCUUUCCAUCCAGGAAAAGCAUAAGAAAGUUAUAUGAAUAUUUAAAAUAUUGUCAGUUGGCUUGUUGGUGCAUGAGAGAAAAUACUCCAACAAUCCAGUAUUGAGCAAGGACCAAACAGGGGCCUGGGAAGACUCAAGAGUUUUGGUGACAGACAUUGGAGAUCUGUUAUCUCUAAAUGAAGUGUUUUUGGGCCAUUCCAACCUGAAUCUAUGUAUCCAGGACUUUUGGUUAAGUGCAGAGGAGAUCCAGAUGGUGUUCUGGCACCACAAACCUCCUCAAUUCCCUCCUCCAUGUGCUCUAAUGCUGGCUUAGAUAGUGCACCUGUAUGAUCGAGAGGGAAUUUCCUCCAGUCCAUUCCACCCCACAUCACUUAUUUGCUUUCAUGCUUGACCUAUCUUGUUCUGCUGGAAUUGCCAACAAGGGCUUAUGUCAUGGAAGUGGUAUUUUUUAUCUUUAUGCAUCUGAGAACUUAAUUGAAACUACUAAUUCCUUCUAUAUGCAACCUGGAACAACCACAAAAUCCUGACAUGAUUUUCCCCUUUUCAGUUCAAGUCAGUGAUCUAAAGCCAAGCAGUUCUGUUUCUCAGUGCUAAUUCUGUCAUCUCAGAAAACUCAUUUUUCUCCAGCUGAGUUACUGGGAAAUGAUAAAAGAACACAGUGGAUAAACAAAUAAAUAUGUUUUUUUCUUUCAAAUUAAACUGAGACAGUGCUUUGAAAGAGUUAAAAUGAAAUGUGCUGCAAGAAUUUGUUCAGCUCACUUCACAGUUCUAUACGUUUGCUCAGGCAAUUUCAUGGGCUUCUGCAGCUCAGCUGCUGCAGGGGCUGACUGGAGCAUAAAUGCAUGUCUCCAGCUUGGGCUCCUCCCUUUGAUGUCUGCUGCAAGUCAUGAAGCUGUGCUCGCUCCCAUCCCACAUCCAGAGUUGUUCUCCUGCCUCUAUUUUCAUACUUAUGAAACAUCAUCACCAUUAAUCUCCUUCUAAUAAAAGAAAAAACAACUUAAAAAAUCAUAUCUGUUUUCUGUUUUGUGCUGAAUUUAGGGGGAUGUGCAUUGGAAUAUUUGUAUGGAGUGAGUUUCCAUCAGGGAAGAGGAUCAGCUCUCAUCUCUUGGAUUCUGGAGGAGAUGCAGUGUCACCACAGGGCAGCCGAGGGAGAACUCUUUCUGAGAUCCAGGCCCCCAGCAGUGCUUACAGCUAGGGCUGUCAUCUCUGCAGCCCAGUGCAGAUUGCCCAAACUGAUGUUUUGGUGCCUCAGGAUACUAGAGCAAUGCUCAGUGGAGACGUAGUCUUUGGGACUCUCCUCACUGUCUUGGUUUUACAAUUACUGUGCAUCUUAAAAACCCACAAACUUUUUUUUAAAUCAUAAAAAGCAUCAGCAUCUUAAUAGAUAAAGACGAUUUUUAAAAUAAUUAACUUCUAUGAAUCGCAUUUCAUGACAGAAAAAUGUCACCCUACUUCUUCAGCGCCAGUAAGUUGACAUGAUCCUACACCUACAUCUGUCAUUUGACAGAGUCAGAAAAAAUGGGGUCAUUCAGAGGGCUGCUUUCCUGGGGCUGAGUCUCCAGCUUCGAAAAUAAACAUCUCAGCUUUUUCUUGACAUUUCGUUUUGAUAGUGACUCAAAUGCACUUUAGCAUUUGUCUAGCAACAGGAGAUAACUGUGCCAGGGUGAAAGAGUCUCAGAGGGCCCUUCUGUUAAACUUUGGGAGUUCCUGAUGGGAUCAUUGCUGCCUCUUGAUCUCUGAGCACAGAGGCUGUGAGGGAUCUGCCACAACAGAUGCAGCCAAUCUACAUUCAUCGAAGAGCUCAGCUGGAAUAAUAUUUUCUUUUUGCAUUUCUUCUAUCUAUAAAGCUUUUAUAUGGAAGCUUUACAAAAACAAGUAAACCUAAUGCAACAACUUAAUCACCUGUUUAUCCUAUAUCUCAAAUUAUACAAAAUGAAAGAAACUUAAAAAAAAACACACCGAGUUAGGUCUCUUGUUACCGUGUAACUCUAAACUUUCUAUUUUGAGUAAUAAACUCUAAACUUUUUUGUUCAGAUAUUGCCUGGAGUCUUCAAACCAAACUCUGUCAUCCAUAUCUACCAUGCUGUUUGUCAGAAUGGCAGCCUUAUCAUAUUACUAUUUUUUUAAGGGAUAGGUUGCUGGCCUUUCACUUGACUCCUAUCCUCUAAGCAGCUUUUUGUCUGGAUUUUGCACUUUAAUGUCUCCAGCUACGUGGAUUUCCAGGAAUUUGAACUCUCAACAGUCAGUCUUAAUGUGCUUCAGAACUUUUCUGCCAUUCCAAUGCAUUAAAGAAAAGUCUUCAGGGAAAAUGCCAUGCUUACACUGCCAUGUACUGCAGCUUGAAAAGUACAGGACAAUCCCUAUACUGCUUCACUACGAUUAUAUCCUGCUGAUCAGACUGUCACUUGGACUGCACUUUGUUCUUCAUCGCCUCUGACUGGAAACUCAUUCCAUAUAAGAAUGAUAGGUAAGAAGAGAUCUGAACUCACCUUGAUGUCCAGCCAUUCCUGGUGCAGGCUAAAAAUGUUUGUUCCUUUCCCUUUCCAUCUGCAUGAUUCCAGCAAUAAUCAUUCUGCAAGUAAAACAACAUCUAUGUGCGGGAUGCUUGGGGUUGAAUUGCAAGCCAUGGAUUCCUUCUCAUUUUGAUGGUGCAAAACAAGAAUAUACAUUCUUAUGGGAACAUCCUUUUAUUCUACUGGCAAUGUAAUUUUUAUUAACAGCUUGGCCAUUGUUUUAACAUAUCAAGUGUGUGAUGUGAGGUAGAUGCAUUCACAACAAUGGUAGGUGAGUUGGCACAGCAUUUUUGGGACCUGUAAGGUUGUAAUGAGGAUCAAAUCUCUGAAUUUGGUUGGGUUUUCGUAUGGAUUUAAAAUGUAUUCAAACAUCCUGAAUAAAUUGAAAGAGGGAGCAGCCUUCCUCAGGCCAUUCGGCACUUCUAGAUGUAAUGAGAAACCAAAAGUGGAAAUGACAUUGAAAUGUUUCUGAACUUAAAAAAAAAAAAAAAAAAAGUGCAGUUUGAAGGUAGUUGUAGGAAUGGGAACGUUCAGUGGUUAUAGGAAGUACAGGAACCUGUCUGUGAGUGACAAUCCAGGACAAACCUCUGUACCAUCAGAUCCCUCCCGCACUUUAGGCACCUUUGUUAGCUUCCUUCUUGCUGAAUACUCAGAACAUCUAGUGCACCAAACAAUAUUCUUCUUAUCCUUCAUUAAUGUCAAUAUUAGGCUUUGGUAUAAAAAUGAAUCAAAGACGUUCUACCAGCCAAGAAUGCAGUCCAGAAUUCUGGCUUUCUUCUGCAAGAGCAGAUAAUUUUGCUCCCACCUAAAGCAUAUGCUCUACUUUACAUAUUAGUUUCUUACACAGCAGAAAUCCAGAGACAUGCAGUUAGGUCCUGGCAAUAAAAAUGUGAGUGCUGAUUUUUGGACUCUUGAUUUCAAACUAAAUUUAUUAGAAAAAUGUGUAUAUCCAGGCAAGAAAUGUGUGUAUAUCCAAGGUUGUGGAGUCUCUUUCUGUGGAGAUAUUCAAGACCCAUUUGGAUGCCUACGUGUGAGACCUAUUGUAGGAAAGCUGCUUUAGCAGGGAGGCUAGACUCACCGGUCUCUUGAGGUCCCUUCCAACCCCGGCUGUGAUCCUGAACUUGUGUAUGGUUCCUAUUUUUUUCCUACUGUCAGGCCCCAAAUCCUUGUGCUGAACACCUUAUGUUUUGAGAAGCAUGGAUGCAGAUUUAAACUUUGUGUCCAAAGUCUGUUUCUGUAAUUAAAGUGAAUGUCCAUGAAUGAAGUGUCUGUCUAUAUUGGACUGACUGACUCUGAUCUCACACUGAAGCAGAUUGGAAGGAACCGUACUAAACUCAAUGGAAUGGACUGUGACUCUGUGACUUCUAAAUCAGUUGAAUUUCACUUACUUCAAUUGAGCUGAUUUUGAUUUACAGUGAUUGAAUGAGAAUAGAGUUAGACCUCAUGUUAAAGAUAUUAUUUGCCUUUUGACUUUAGUAAAAAUCCUGUAUAGCAGCACAGAAGUAGCUUGAGAUUUUUCUGCUAAAAGUGCUAGUGAAGUUUCUUUAAAGCAAAGACAUGAAAAGUUUUGUAUUUUCUCUGUAUAGAUAUUUGUGCUGUCAGCUGAGAGAGAGGAGAAAUAUUCUGCAGCAUUAAAUCAUAUUUUACAGUUCAAUGAUCUGGAAGAUUUCCAUAUGUCAUAUUUACAUUCACUUCCUAUUUAAUGUGAUGCAGAUUUUUUGCAUGCACAGAUCUUGAAAGAAAAAAACAUAUGGAGAAGUCUACAUAGUUAUUUUGUUAAAUGAAAUGGUAUGCUUUUGUUUAACAAAAGAAUUUUAAUGGGGAGAGUGCAAGACACUGAAACAAGACAAAGUAUCUUUAAAUCAACUUUUUUUUUUUUUUUUUUUCCAUUUUCAUUGCCCAGCUAAAGCUGUGAAAUAGUGAGAGAAAAUGUGAAGGCUUUACGUAUUUCAUCUAACACAAUAAUUUACCAAAUUCAGUAGUCACAAUGAAUGAACAUAAAGUAGUACUGGAAUACUUGACACUAAGGCUCAAAUAUCCCAGAAUGCCCUUUUCUGGUUCCUGGGCUGGUCUUGAAAACGCAAGUCACUUAAAAUCCACUCUGAAAUGCUUUCUGGUAAUCAGCUGCCAUAGCUACUGUUGUAACCUAGAGCAAUAAUUGUUUUUCUCAGCAUCGUCUACUCACUUUUAUGGUUGAAAUGUGCAGUAGCAUAGGUUUCUACUGAAGAAAGGAGGACUAUUUUAGGGAAAACAGGAGGUGAUAAGAGAAGAACUCAUUCAGAGUGGCCCUGCUGAGAAGGACUUGGGGAUUCUACUGGAUGAAAAGCUCAAUGUGAGCCAUCUGUCUACACUUGCAUCCUAGAGGGCCAACAGCACCCUGGGCUGCACCAACAGAGGGGUCGCAGCAGGGAGAGGGAGAGUAUUAUCCCCCUCUGCUCUACCCUCAUGAGGCCCCAUCUAGAGUACAGUGUCCACAUCUGGGGCCCCCAGCACAGGAGGGAUAUGAAGGUGUUGGAAUGGGUCCAGAGCAGAGUCACAAAGAUGCUCAGUGGUCUGGAGCAUCUUUCCUGUGAAGAAAGGCUGAGGGAACCAGACUUCUUCAGUCUGGAGAAGAAAAGCCUCCUUGGAGAUCUCUUUGUGGCCUUCCAGUUCUUGAAGGGAGCUUACAAGCAUGGAGAUCAACAGUUUACACAGGCAGCCCUGCCCCUGGCAGUAGGCUGGAACUAGAUGAUCAUUAAGGUCCCUUCCAACCCAAGCCAUUCUAUUAACCUAGAACAAGAAAGAUUGAAUCUGUGAAUUUCUAGAAGAAUUUUGGACACAUUCAGCCUCCAUUUAGAAUUGUUUAAUUCCAUUGUAUUGUGUAAAUAAAAAUUUAGUCCAAAUGUAGUUUUGUAGUUUAUGUUGAGGCAUUUUGAACUGAUGGAGCUAUUGUAGAGCCAUGUGGUUAUAAACAAAAACUGCAAAAUGAAAUGUAGAACUGUUGUAAUAAAGAUUGCCACAAACAAGUUAGCUUUAUAAAUUGACCUUCACAUUCAAAUAUGGUGGAAAUAAAUGCAGCGCCUAUGGAAAUGUCUGAGUGGCAUCCAGUAUGGUUCAAAGAGUGUAAGCUGAGUAGAAAAAAAGACAAUUCUAGAUCUCUCUUCCUGCCUUCAUGAGGAAAACUUGUAUUUUUUUGGCUUGAAUCCCUGGACUUAGAUUGAAGAGAUUUGGAAGUACACCAGCAUCCUCUCAAGAUGGUUCAACCCCCUCAUAAUUACUUAUUUUAUUAUCAAGAAUCUUGACAGAAUAACAGUCAAAUGUCUGUGUACUUCUAAGUAUCCAAGUGUACAUGUGUUGAGCAUUCUUGUCUCUUAGUCAUAUUAACCACUCCAUCUUCCAAGAAUGGUGCACUAAUUUGCUGCUGAGAUCAUUCUGAGAAUGUUGCCCUCUGCAAGCAAAAUAUGUUGAAGUACUUAGAGGUGAGAAUGGCUAAAAAUGCUAGACAGUCAUCCCACCAGGCUCUAGAGAAUGGCAUCUCCAGGUAUAAACAGUCUUUACUCAAAAAAGGCUGGCAAGUGGGGACAAAGACAAGCUUCAAAUGCACUACUAUACUUGAUUCAACAAAGCAAAAAUACUUGAACAUCCCUUACUCUGCCUUAAAUAUCAAUAACUGUUCAGUGUUCUUGACUGUUUGUCUAGUAACCGUCUAAUGCACGGUGAUUACUGGCUUCACUGGGAACAUAGCACAUCACCUGUGGCUCAGAGGCAAGCCUGGUGACUCUGUCCCCACAGACAUUGAGCCUUUGCCAGGUUACAGACAGCUGCAGGCCCGGGGGGAGACUGCACUGAGUGGGGUUAUUGUGUCAGGUUCCUCAUGUAUAGUAAUUUCCUGAUCAGUCUUCAGCUGCAUGGUGUAAAUACAGCAUAUGUAAAUGUAUGUCCGGGCAUUCAGGUGAGGGUGUUUCUCUUCCAUUAUGAAAGGGCUCCCCAAAUUUUCAUUUUUAAGCUCUGUUUCAAGCAAAAAUCUUCUUCAAAGUUAUCAAAAUGUGGUUUUGAUCUAUGUCAUUAAGGCAGUUACUGUAAAUCAGUCCAAGCUGACUGGGAAAUAUUUGGAAGAACAGUUCAUGAUCUGAAUAAAACUGGCCUCAGUUUAAAAAUUGCGAUGAAUUCUGAGGUAAUUUGCUUCUGAAUGUUUCAUAUGAAGCUUAAAAUUUCAAAGCCAUCUCCUUAACAGCGUUAUUUGUUUUUGUAUGGCUGCAUCGGUGAGAAGUCACAUAGCAGUGUAGGCAUAAACUUUAAAAGUUAGGCUUUUAUCUAGGCAGUGCUGUCUGUUACCUUUACUAAUAUCACUGUAAAUUAUAAGCAUUUACUUGGCACUGCCUGCUACUGUUGAUAUGAUGUGGUCUUCACUCCGUUCCCAUAUUCUGCAGACAAGCAGCUAAUCAGUCUGACCAUUUGCUGAGUGAGCUGACAACUGCAAGAACCAGAUGUUAAGUUCUAGAAUUUAUUUUUCCAGUGGGGUCAUGUAGGUUUCUGAUUUGUUUCCUAGCUAGCCUGUUCUAAAGUCUUUUAUCUGCCUUCUUGGCUGAUUUCCAUCAAAAUAAUGCAGCAUUUAUAAGUCUUAGUUUCCCCAUAAGCAUCAUCUCCAACUGCACUUCCAAGAAGUCCCCUGUGUAAGAAUGUGAAGGUUUUAUUUUCCUUGUGAAAGCUGUGAACAAGGUACAGACUUUGUUAUGUCAGAUACAAUAUUCAUAUCUUGUUUAUAACAACUCAAAAGAACAUACUGUGAAGCUUCAUUCACAGAAUUGUCAUUUCAAAUUUAUCAGAACAGGAUUUACGUUCUGAUAUUUGUACAAUUACAAAAGCUAUCUCUCUUGGGUGGAGAAACAAGUUUGUUCUGGGUGGAGAGAAUCUAUCCAAGUCUCCACACAGAGCAAGGAAGACAUGAAAACUGGCAUAGCAAUCAUAUGAUAACAGACAGUCACCAGACCAGAAAAAAUAGUUAAACCCCAUGCAUAUUCCUAGUAAUGAUUAUUGUUCUUUCCUUUCUUUUUUCCAGAGAUUAAUUUUAAAUAGGAAAAACUAGUGAGGAAUAUACUUGAAUCUUUUGAAAAUCAUAUUUUUCAGGCUGCACAUAUUUUGCUUUUGCAUGAAGGAAAACAAGAAAAUAUUUGUCAAUAUUUAUUUCUCAGUAUCUGUCUAACAGAACUGGAAGUAUACCUCCAAAAUACUGUUGCCUCUUCAGCAAAUUUGAUUCUCUUAAGCUUUGAUUUGGAUUAAAAUUUUCUAUUUAGCAGUUCUGGUUCUAAUGAUCUUUUACACUGCUUUUCAAAUCUUGAUCAUUAUACAUAUCCUCAGGCACUACCUUCAAAAUGUUUUCCACUUCAGCUUGAAAUGAGUGCUCUUCCACUGUACAUUUCUCAAGUCGUCUAGAAUUCAAGUUUUUUGGAUGGCUAUUAUGAAAGAUUUUCUGUAAGCCCACCAUUCUUGAAGAAAUGUGUUGAGUGAACACAAAACAUCCUUAAAAGACUUGUAAAAGGAGACUAAAGGAAUGGUGCAUUUGGCGUGGCUUUCCUCACAGCAGUAGGAUGAUAAUAUCACAAUGUCUAAGCAGUUCCCACAAUGUGUGAAUAGUUCCCCCUAAAAAAAGAGAUAAUGUGAAUUCAGCAGUUAGAAUACAAAUCCUUGGCUCAGAGAGUCCAUGACCUCCCAGCUGCAAUCAGCAGACACUUUAACAAUUAACCUUUUUAUAAAACUCUUUUCCAUUGCUGUAUUUUACUGGCUAGUCUCAGAGAUGAUUUGGUCUGAAUCAGUCCAAUCAUAUGAACGUUAAACUUUCUGAAUUGUAAAUAUUGUCAUUUUUUACCUCUAUUUGCAAUGCUGGGCUAUCAAACUCUGAGUUCAGAGCAGUCAGUAUGACUAUAGGUAAUCUCUUUUGUCAUGAAAAAUCCUAUCCUACAACAUAUAACAGUUUAAUAAACCCAUCUACAAAUACUAAGACAAACCCUCUGCUUUUGAUUCAUUUAAAAUUGAUAGCUGUGUCAUACUUGAGCAGUGUGGACGUUGUUACACAAAGCUUGAAAGACAGUAGAGAGCAUAAAGCCCAAACAGAUGAAUUCUACUCCUUUGAGUCACAAUAAGCAGAAUUUCUUCUCCACUCUGAGGACUUAGCUACCACUUCACCUAAGUAAGUGUGACAACACUUGGAUUUAUGUAGUGGUGCUGGUAGCACUAUAUUUUCCAGAGGACAUUUUCAUAUGGCAAGGAUGUCUCCCCCAGGAGUGCCAUAAGCUGCACUCCUCUCUUGAUACAGGUUCAUAUGUAUGUAUCAUGGAUUCCUUGGCCUUGUUAAAAAUUGUUAUUUUGCCACAUUCCUGACUACUGUAAACUCACUUUUAGAGCAGUAGCACCGGUAGGGUCAAAUAACGUGCUUGAAAGGAUUGUCAUCUCUUUAGGGAUGAAAAGAAUUUGAAGGGAAAGAGAAAAUAACAGUGAUUAAAUCUUUGACUAAUGGGUACAAAACCCAAAAUUAUAAUUUCUGCUGCUUUAUUUUGAAAUAUAUGGAAAAAAUUAAUGAGCCAAAUAUAAAACAGCAUCAUUUCAUGCAAGGAGGCACUGUGUAGACAAACAUAAGAAAGAUUCUGAGUGACUGAGAGUCAGUUUUGGUAAUGUUCUGAUACAGGCUAAGAAGUUAAGACAUUUCCCAAACAAUUACUUGUUUCAUUCUCAAGUACCAGCAAUGACUGUUGACCACAUUUUGCUGAAACAAAAUGCAUGGAAAGCAGCUUCUCUCCCUCAGAAAGCUAACAGCUAAAGGGGAUCUGUAAUGCCAUUGGUCAGCUGGAAUCUCAGUUUACUUUCCCUGGCAAAUUACUGUCUUGUUGUGGUUAGGCAAGUUAGGUUCCAGAGAAUUAGUUCUUUAAUUUUCAGGCAACUUUCAUCUCUUUUUUAACCUAUGCUUACUCCGUCUGCUUAGAAAAUCAGUUACCACAUUUGAAACAUUUGGUUUCAAAUGAAGUUUAGAUGAGGUUCUGGGAUCCUACCAUCUCAGAAGGCAGCUUGAUCAUAUGUAUAAACUUUAUAUGUGGGCCAGCACACUCAAAAGCCAACUCCUUCCAAACAUGUUGUUCUUUUCCUUGUAAUGACAGGCAUUUUGGAGGAAGAUUAUAGACAUUUGGUUUUACCACUGAGUUGAGGUACCUCUAUCCUCCAUUUUUGAUGUCAGACAGAAAAUUCAGACAGACCCUUGUUUCCUAUAGGCUAACCAUAGGCAACUUCAGUGACAGCAUGCUAAGUUAAGGUUCAUUCAAUCCGUUGCUUGUUCUGGACCAUAUUUAAAUAAUAAUCUCAUGUUAUGCAGAAAAUGCCUAGUUCAGUCUUCCAGAUUUCAUUUCAGGAGCAGCUGUAUCUCUGCUUUGGGCUUUAGUGGCAUAUAUUUUCUGUCUCCAUAGUAUGAUUUUUUCACUUUCCAGCCCGACCAAUAUACCAGCAAAAUUUUGCAGUCUAGACCAUACGUUAACUUUACUAUUGGUCCUUUGAUAUCAGAAAUAUGACACCAUAAGUAGUCUUCAAAAGUUCUUCCUUUUGUUUGUUCAGUCACCAAGGUCAAGCCUACUGCAAAUUGUACUCCAACUGAACACACCAUCACAGAACUUCUUACUUUGAUUUUUGUUGUUCUACAAAUCAUCAGAGAAGCUCUGAAGACAAAAUAGCCUUCCACAGCUAAAGUAAUGUUUUUGCAGCAGCCAGUAAUAAAAAUACCAUGGAAAAGAUACUAAUAACUAUAUAAAUUGAAGCAGAUGUUGUCCAUAUACUCACUUUUGUGUACAAGACAGUUCGAUUUACUAGUUAAACAGUUUGACUAAAGUGUUACAGCAAAUCUGAUCAAUACAAAAAUCUGAACUUUUCUGCUCUUUGCUGUUUUUUAGGGUUUGUGAUGAUAUAUAUGAAUAGGCCUGUGUCUACAAUAUCCUAGUGACAAAGUGAUGCUCCCCUUGGUAAGCAUGGCUCUUUCCCUCUAUAAAGAGUCAUGCUUACCAAGGGGAGCAUCACUCUAUAAAGAGGGAAAAAAUUGCUAUCUCUGUUCAUUCUACAAAGAAGUAUUCAAUAUGACUCCACCAAUUUAAAUAUGGUAGAUAAGGAAGGUUCCUAUGGAAAGAACAAGAUAGAUCAGUGUUUUGUUAUUGUCUGUUCAUUUGUUUUAAUAUAUAAAUGACCUGACUGCAUUUUGAGUUUGCAUUUUGAGGAGUAUGUUCCAUGAGCUCCUUUGUACAUAACCAUCUUAUUCCUCCUUUCUUAAUGUGGCUUAUGCACAAACGCCCAUUGUUAUUCAAUGCUAAAGAUACAAUUUAAAUUAUGCAAACUGUCUAGGAGGCUCACUUCUGCUCCAUGGAUGCUGAUAGACACAUGCCUCUCUUCCAUUUCACAUUUUCAGUGGCAUUGCAUGAGGAAGAACAGAUUCUGCAUAACAGACGUAAACAGACUAGUAUUCUGUAACUACAUUCAACUACUCUAAGUAACUUCAAAGAAUCCUGGCACUAAUUCAGUUCUGCAAGUCAUCAGAAAUCUAAAAUGCUUCCCCAAAGUAUGAGAUAGAGCAAAAUCUUGUAAGUCUGUAAAAUAGCUACAAAUCAUGUAAGAGAGCUCUUAAAACUGUGAGAUAUCCAGUAAUACUGUUCCCAGACUGCUAGUUUCUGUGUACAAGGAACUGCCAUGAGCCUGCUAUCAGCGUAACUUUUAAGUUAGAUUGAAACAACAAAACCAGGAACAAGGAAAAAUUUCCAUGAAAGACCACAAUAUAUUUAUCUUCUUUGUCUUUCGUGAACUAAGAAAGUGAUUGCCUCUAUCUUUUCUUUGCAUAAGAAGGAAAAUAAAUAGGAACAUUCCAAAAGCUUAAAUACUAUUGCAUUUGAGUUUGCUACUUAAGAAAGAAACUUCAGUUUGCAUCUGUCAGCCUUCCUGAACUGAUUCAUUCUAUGUCACUAGAAUUCUGCAGUAUAAAUCUGAGAGCCUUAAGAUAAAAACAGAACACAAGCUAGUUUUCUGAAAUCUGUGACAUCUAUUCCUUGUUUUGUGAAGGAGUCUCAACAAAUAUGAAAAUAGCAACCUUCGUAUCUUUGUCAGAAUACUAGGCAGAAUUUAUUUUCUCCCUUCUCCCCAGAUGGUAACGGUAACAACCAGAAUGUUUCCACUUUGUGCCUUUUUCAGAUUUGGAUGUCAGAGAAAGCAAAUUGCAUUGAACAAGUGAAAUUUUACACCCCAAGUAUACCACUUUACAUAGUGGUGUUUUGAACUCAGGUUUUCAGAAAACUCUUCUUGUUAGAGAGAGAAAUUAGUUACAGGAAUCUAUUAAAGUCUUAAAGUACUUCCUUAAAAAGUACAAGAAACUUUAUGAAAUCCACAAAAAUAUGACUUUGAGUAGGUCACGAACAUUUAUUAGUUGAAAUAUUAAGUAUGCCACCAAAGCUCUCUAGUCCUGUUACAGCAUUCUUCUUAAUAAAGUUGAUGAUACAUCAGGGUAUAAUCGUAGUUACUCAUGAACAGCAAGAUAUGAAUAAUAGCCACUGUGGUAACCAUUUAGGUAGAAAGUUGCUCUGUUUGUGACAAUAGGAACCACAAAGAAUAUUCAAGUUGUCUUUGAGGGAUUGGAGUAUUCCGCAUCUAUUAAAGUCAGUUGUUCUGUUGUACUAGCUUUUCCUUCAUAAAGAAUUGCAGUACUCUGUGAUACAUAAAACCAAAUAGUGGCUUUGAAUUGCAACAGCAGAUUUUGAUAGUGCAAAAACAACUUCUAAGCAGGAGUAUAUGCUAAGAACAAUUGCUGUGAUUUUUUCUUGUGUUAAGCAGACAAAUUGGAAGAAACUGUGUUAGUGGAAGUAAAGCACUGACCACCGGGAGAUGUUAAUGUGAGGAGAGGUAAUCAUAUGGUUACUUUCAGCAAGACUACUGAUAGCCAAGAUGACUGGAGGUGUUGGAUUAUACACCAUGUCAUAAAACCAAAUGUCUGCAAACACUUUGUGCCUUGUAGCACACAGUAGAACUUUCUUCUGAAGAGUGAUGUUCUUGGAAGUGGGUGUCCAAGGAGGACAAAAGGGAGUGUGAAGUCAGAGUUUUAAUAGUUUGUGAAAAGUAAUCUUUCAUCAGGACCUGAAUCUUUCAGCAUGAAACAGGAAGACACCGGUUUUACAGCACCAAUGUUAGCUCCAUUACUAACAUCUUCUCUGUGCUACUGACACUGACAUUUUCUCUGAAGACUUCUGAUUUAUAUUAUUAAGUGCUUUGCUCCUUCCAUUCCAGACCUGAAGAAAGUCUUGUGAAUCUGGAAUAUAGACUGUUGUUGUUUUUUUCCCAAAUUAUCAUUCAGUUUGAUUGAAAAAUCACUGCUUCUCUCUAUGAACUUUAUUAGCUAAGUUAUGCCCAAAGAGGACCAAAGCCCAGUGAAGUGAAAGGUCAUUGCUUUAAAUCAAAGCCAUAGUUGAGACCAAGCUUGCAGUGAACUAAAUUAAAUUCAGCAUUCUUGCAAGAAAUAUCAUACUUGCUUGUAAGAUUCCUGUCAGGAGACAAGCUGAAUUUGCCUUUGUAAUCUCUUUUGCCGUCUUAGGUACUUCCAUUCAUCACUGUGUAUUUAAAUUUCAAGUAAUCACACUCAGUUUAGCCAAUAACAGUGUAAUUGUUUGCUUUCUUUUGCUAUUUUCAUGUGCCUCUCCUGACACUAAGCUCUUUCAUAGUUCAAAAUUCAUGGCUGAAGUUACAAAGCCUCUUUUAUCCACUUAUUCAAUUAUGCUGAUAUUGGAUUGCCUGUUAAGAGCAAUAAAACUAAUACUGCAGA